rnacentral:lncRNA from 1 species
AAAAAGUGGUGGUCGUAUCUCGACAGCUACAAUGGCUGGUAUCGUUGCUGGAGCAACGUCUGCUACUUUGUUGAUUGUAGGCAUCUUUUGGUGGAAUUGCUGUUAUAAAUUAGAUGAUGAAGUAUCUGGUGUUCUCUUUGGCGAUGAAUUCCAAAAUGGAAUGGAACUUAGGAAGUUUUCCUUGGUACAAAUAGCUAAAAUGACCAAUAAUUUCAACGGUGAAAAACUAGGAAAAGGAGGGUUUGGUGUAGUUUAUAAAGGGUACUUAAGGGACUCGGAUACUUAUGUUGCUGUUAAACGGAUUUCAAAGGCCUCUAAGCAAGGAAUUAAGGAAUAUGCAUCUGAAGUGAAGAUUAUUAGCCAAUUAAGGCACAAGAAUCUUGUGAAGCUUAUUGGUCAGUGUCAUGAAAAAGGAGAACUUAUACUUGUUUAUGAGUUAAUGGCUAAUAGCAGCCUAGAUUCCUAUCUUUUUAAAGGUAAGACCUUAUUGACCUGGGAAGUGAGAUUUAAAAUUGUGCAGGACCUGGCAUCAGCACUAUUCUAUCUUCAUGAAGAAGGUGACCAUUGUGUACUACACAGAGAUAUCAAAGCGAGCAACAUUAUGUUAGAUUCUAGUUUCAAUGCUAAACUUGGGGAUUUCGGGCUUGCUAGGCUAGUGGAUCAUGAAAAAGCGUCACAAACCACCCAUUUAGCUGGGACUUUGGGCUAUUUGGCACCUGAAUGUGUUUCAUCGGGAAAAGCUAGUAAGGAAUCGGAUGUCUACAGCUUUGGAGUUGUGGCAUUGGAGAUUGCAUGCGGUAGAAGAUCAAUAGAGUCCAAAUAUGAAGAAUCUCAAGUUCCAUUGGUAGCUUGGGUGUGGGAUUCAUAUGGAAGCCAACGGUUGCUUGAUGUGGCUGACCCAAAAUUAAGUAUGAACUUUGAUGCGAAACAAAUGGAAUGCUUGUUAAUGAUUGGAUUGUGGUGCGUCCAUCCAGACCAGCAUUUUAGACCGUCGAUAAGGCAAACAAUUCAGGUUCUUAAUUUUGAAGCACCAUGGCCGAAGCUUCCAAGUACGAGGCCAACUGCUACAUAUAAUGCACAAAUCACUUCAGAAAUUCAAACAAGUGAGCCAUGUUUUUCUGAUAUGAGUAUUAUGGUCCCGCGUUAGAUAUACAUAAUAUUCAAAUUGAUUGUCUAUUGACAAUAAUAUAUAUAUUAAUACAUAUUUAAUGAUUAAAUGCUUCAAAUAUAUGAAAUAAAUAGUUUAAAUUUACACAACAAUGGACAAUGAGCUACAAUAUGGCCGAAUAUUUGCUUGGCCGAACGAACAAAAAUACCCAAAAGGCAGACCCAAUCCGCCAUAUUUUUGUCAUUAAAAAUAAAAAGAAAUUAAGAAAGGGCAUAUUUGAGUGUUGGGCAAUUAAUUGAGUCAUAUUUUCAUGGGUUGUAUAAAAAACUUUUGAGUCGGAUACUAUGGCUUUAGGAUAUAGAUAUAUUAUGUAAAUUAUAAAAUUUUUGGGUCCAAUCGAAUUAUUAUUAUUUCUCCAAAGCCCGAAUUGAAUACAAAGAUGGGAUUCUUUAUAUAAUACAUACAGAUCUUAGAAAAAUUAAAAAAGUAAAAAGUAUACGAAUCCUAAAAAUUAUAGGCUACCACUACCACCACUUCAACAUCCGUGGUAACCGUGGCCGGGGCAAGGACAACAAAUAAUAUGCUCUGAUGAAGAGUCGCCACCACCACACAUGGAUGCACCUCCAACGUCACUAAUAUCGUUUAAUUAUUAAAAUAUUUUAAAAUAUAUUGUUUAAUUAUCUGUGGUAAGCUGCCAAAGAGUUUGCUUCUUUACCUUUUUGCAAAUCUUUGCUGAACUCUCUUGGUAAUCCUAAUUAACCACCAUGGUUUUCCAGUUGUGAGUACAAUGUAUCCCAAGCUUACUCCCAGCACCAACCCACAUCCGUAUCCCAUCAGUAUAGAAAAUCUCCAAUUCAGUUCAUCGUCAUCUCCAUCAAAUUUGGCUGGAAUUUUCUAAUCAUUAUCUCAUCUGUUUGGUAAUGGCAGCCCGCAAAAACCCAAGUUUCCUAUGUAGGAAUCAUUAGUGAAAGUAUUAAUUUGUUUUCCUUGAGGAAGGGGUCCUGUUAUAUUAUUUUGAGAAAGGUUUAACACCACUAAGAAUCCAAGAUUCGUUAAUUCCAUUGGAAUUCUUCCUUGGAACAUGUUUGAUGAGAGAUCUAAUGAUUCAAGCUCUAGCAAAUCACCUAAUGAUGAUGGGAUAGGACCUGUUAAACUAUUAUGAGAAAGGUUUAGGACAAUAAGUGAAUGAAGUUCACCAAGUGCUUUAGGAAUUUCUCCCAAGAAUUUAUUAUUCAAAAAGUCAAUUACCAUCCAGCUGGGUAAUAGUGAUUCAAACUCCAUUCCCAACCCUUUAGCUACAAAAGAUAAACCUUGCACAUCAUAAUACCACAUUCCAUUAGCCAUUGCAUUUAUCAUGUCUUCUGGUUCACCUUUCUUGUCAUACUCUUUUCUAAUGGCAUGCAAAUUCUCAAAAAAAAAAAAACUUGAUAGGUAAGUAGCAACUAAAAUUAUUAUGAGAAAAAUCAAUGACAUCCAACUUUUUCUGAUGAGUCACUCAUCUUUGUGUAUUGUGGUGGAGCAAUUGGAACAUAUACACACAUACAAAAAUUCAAAGAUGAGAAAUAUUUAGCUCUUGAUCAAAAAUCAAUUGUAAUGUGGGGUAUUUAUAACACGUAAAUCAACAUAAUCUCAUGUUGAAAUAGAAAGUUUAAUUCUCUUAAGUAAUAGUUUAGACAUAAAUCAAAGGUAUUUAAUCAAUAAUUUCUCUAAACCAUUAUGCGCAAACUUUUACAAAAGUUUUUCAAACUCAAUCAAUAAAAAAUUGAGAUAUGAACUCAUCAGUGUUAGUAAAAUGAAUUGUCUUAAUUGCAUUAUCUAAAACUAAUUGUUUAAACAAGCAAUCUUCCAAACAAUAGGUUGCAAAUUGAUAACACAUAUGUGAUUAUUUUGUAGAUGCAUCUACCAAAAUCAUAUAAUAUCAAAACCAUCCAUAUGGUGGAUGACUGGGCUAAUAUUCAUUUUAGAAAUGCAAAAUAUUGAAUCUCAGCUUUAGCUAGUGAGUUUGUAAUAAUCAAUUAUCAUUGAGAACAAGCAACACAUGAGAAUUUUUUAAAUUAAAGAAUCUUAUGAUUCUUUAAAUCUCAAUUAAUUUUCACAUCAUAUAUAAUCCAAGAUGGUUUAACUAGUCACGCCAAAUAGUAAAUGUCAAUAUAAAUUUUGACAAUUUAUAAUUUCAUCAUCAUUUUCUUUUAUUUUGUAUCGACAUAUAAACAAUAUUGUGAUAUUUACUUCAAGAAAUGUCUACAUUAAUGUGAAGUCCAUAAUGUUAUUAACUCACUAAAAUAAAUAUAAUUUGCAAUAUAUUCAGGUAAUAUGCCAAAAUCUUCAAAUGUUCAAAUUAACAUUAAUAAUCAAAAGAAAUUAUACAAUUUGUUAUAUUUAUUGCAAUCAUUCACUUCAAGGGAUGUGCAAAAAUCAGUGGAACAAAUAAUUUAUUAUUUUGUUUGACCUUAAAAAGGCAUUAGAUCAAUCCAAAAAUACUUUUAAAACCAUUUUCGCAAGAGUUUUUCAUUAUCAAUUAACUAGAAAGAAAUAACCAAAUCAUUCAUGGUGUUUAUUGCAAAUCAAAUGUACGGACAAAACUAACAUUUAAAAUAUCAAACUUGAUAUAAUGCUAGUGCCAACAAAAAAAAAAUCAUAAACCAUUGCAUACAUGUAUGAAAUUCACUUCAAAAUCAUACAUCCCAUGUUCACUAAAACUUUUCCAUUUAUAAUUGUUCAUAUAAUUUCUCUAAAUAAUUAACAAAUAUAAAGUGUAUGAAUUACCUUUAACAACUUUACAAAAAUAACAAGUUUCCCAAGGUUAUAUAGUAAGAAAAUAUAAGGCAUUUACAAAAUCAAAUCACACGAAUUGUUUUAAUGCUUCUUAUCAAACAACAAUUGGCUAAUACAAACAAUAUUCAUAUAAAUGCAAACGGUCAAAUUAAUAUAGUAAUUCUCAUUUAAGUUUGUGAAAAUGUUUUCAACCAAAAUAAUUCAAGAAUUAAAAAUGACAACAAUUAAAUUUGAAAUUCAAUAUUAGAACCAACCCAAAAAUCAAUUUAGACAUUCCUCAAAAAGUCUUUAAAACUACACAUGUAUGAGUAUUGAAAAAUUUCAAAUUGUAUAACCAAAAUAAUAAAAGACAUUAAAAGAACGUAAUCUAUAUUUAUAUUAAAUCAAAUCUGAACAAUCAUAAAUUUCAUAGCUUUAUCAACACAAAUUUACAUACUAUUAUAUUUUUAGCCAAAUACAUUAUUUAAUUAUAAAACUUACUAUAGCAAGAUAAAGAAGUCAAUUAAUAUUCAUUUUUAUGAACAAAUAAGAUGUUUUAAACCACAACCCAUGAAACCAAAACUUAAAUUAAAAUAAUCUCAAAUACUUAAACCAUAAAUCAAAUUGAUGUAAUAUCUAAAGAUGCUAUUAUUGAGAAUAAGUGUAAAGAUAGAGAUCUAAUGAAGUUUAUGUACCUUUCUUGUUCAACGAAGUCUUGAUGAUCUUAUUUCACAAUUUCAAUAGAUAGUGAUAUUAAAUCCUUCACCAUCAUUAAAUAAAAUAAACUUCCUGUAAAAACUUUGCAUCUUGCCAUCAAAGAUCUUGGAAAUCAUGGAGAAUAUAUUUGAUCGUCGAUAAAAGGAACUAUCACUUUGAGCAAGAUCGUGUUCAUAACGUGUUAUAAAAUAAAGAGACAUAGAGGGAAUAAAGAACAAAGAAAAUAUGAAAGCAAUAGAGGAUAUACUUCAUUGAUCAAAAGGGAUGAUUGCAAUAUUUUAUCAUAGUCUCUAUUUAUAGAUAUAAGAAGUAUAAAAGAGGUAGAGAUCUAAUUCAAAUAACUAUUAGAAUUUAAAGUACACCAAAACUUUGACGGUUUAUUUUCCUGCUUUUUGGUUUUGCUGCAUUGUUGGUUGGAUGUUGUCAGUCAUUGUAACACCCCUUAACCCUAAACCGUCACCAGAACAGGGUUACGGAGCAUUACCGGAUAUAUCGGAUAACUUAUAGCUAGUUCACAAAUAAAUAACAGAUAUAGCAUACUUGUAUUAAAUAUGUCAUAUUAGUUUCAUUUCAUACUACCAAAAUCAUUUCAUGAACUAUAUCAGUAUCUAUUUCUUGAACCGAUGGUUCAUACAUUUCAUUUCCAUAUCUCAAUUUAAUAUCUCAUUUCGAUUCAUAUUCAAGAUUAUUCAAUAAAAUUUAUAUUAUCAAAAUUAUUCAUUUACCCCUAUUAACUUGACUCGAACUUUGGCAGAUACACGGAUUCCAACCAACACACCAAUACGGCACAUAGUGCCUAAUACGGUACAUAGUACCUGAUCAGUAAUCAGUAACGGUAGCAGUAACAGUAACAGUAUUCAACACACAAAGUGCUGAAUCUGUAACAGUAACAGUAACAGUAUUCGACACACAAAGUAUCGAAUCAGUAACAGUAACAGUAGUCGGCACAUAAGUGCCUGAACAGUAAGCCGGCAAAAACCCGUACUCUUUCAUAUCCUAUGGCAUGCCAACUAUAUCCGACUCAACCCGACUAGUUAAUAGGGUGUUCAAAUCAUUUUUCUAUUUCAAAAUCAUUUUCGAUUCAAUCACAAUCCAGAUUCACUUCCCACUUUCUAAUCAAUAUACAAUUCAAUUCCAAUACAUAUUUCAGAUAUUCACAUAUAAUCAUAAUUUAAUCCACUUUUAUUCAAUUCAUAUUUUUAUUUUCAAUCUAUCAACAAAUAUAUUUCAUCAUACACUAUAUAAUUCAUGAAAUUAACAUUUAAUCGUUAAAUUUCAGCCAUAUGAACUUACAAUUUCAUUACCUUUCCACACUCAUUUCCAUUUCAAUGUAUAACUUAUAAAUUUAACGUGGCAUAAUCUAGCCACUACUUGGCCAAAGCCUAAGCAUGUACACCAAAUAUGUUAGCCAAAUACACAUAUAGCAUAAGCAUUAUAAGCAUGGAUGAGCACAACAUUUAUUCAUGUAUCACACUUACCAACAUGUGUUGAUUCAUAAACCAUUCAUGACAUUAUUUCAUGCCAAAUUAUAUACCGAAUAUACCAUAUACACAUACUAUGAAACUAUAUUUUCACACAUAAGCUUAGACCAUGACCAAUAAUGCACAAAUAUAAUCAUCAUUUCUAUUUCAUCAUUUAUCAAUUAUAAUCAAGUAUAUGACCAAUUAUACACAAAUCAUUCAUAUAUUUCCCAAUUUUCCUCCUCCUCAUCUCCAUUCCACAUCCUUAAUGUGUAUAACACACUUAAACUACAUUAAUUAUAAUUCCACUAUUCACUCACAUGUAUAUUCAAAGCUGUUUAUUCGGGUCAAAGUCACUAAAUUAUUUUCAUCCGGAGCUACAGAGCUCCAAAUUAAGAUCCGUUAAUUUUUCCUGAAACUAGACUCACAUAUCUUCUUGCCAUAAAAUUUCAGAAUUUUUGGUUCAACUAAAUAGUACAGUUUAUUCUUUAAAGUUUCCCCUGUUUUGCUGUCUAACAGUUCCGACCACUCUUCACUAAAAAUGAAUUGUCUAAUUGUACAAAUUCGGAUGAUGUUUCCGUUUGUUUCCUUUGAAAAUAGACUCAUCAAGGAUUCUAAGAAUAUAAAUUAUAACUCAUAAUUAUUUUUUUACAAUUUUUAACAAUUUUCCAAAGUCAGAACAGGGGAACCCGAAAUCAUUCUGACAUUAUCUCACAAAAUUUAAUAUAUCUCAUGAUUUAAAAUUCUAUUGCUUACACCGUUUCUUCUAUGAGAAACUAGACUCAAUAAGCUUUAAUUUCAUAUUUUAUUCACCCUCUAAUUCAAUUCCCACAAUUUUUGGUGAUUUUUAAAAGUUACACUACUGCUGCUGCCCAAAACUGCUUUAGUGUAAAAUGUUGAUUUCCAUUUUGCCCCCAAAUUUCAUAGUUUAUGCAAUUCGGUCCUUUCUCAAUUAACCCCUCAAUUAAUCUAAUUUUCUCAAUUAAUAAUUUACCUAGACAUUAUAAGUUAUUUCACAACUAUUGAAAUUCAGAAUUUUCACAUAUAACCCUAACUUCAAACUCUUUUACUAUUAGGUCCCAAACAUUUACUUUCUAUUCAUUUCUCUCAAUAAAACCAGUAUAUGAACAAUUUAAAGCUCUAAUUCCAUGCUAAAUCAUCAUAUACUUCCAGCAUGCAUUCAUAGCAACUUUCAACUUCUUUCAUAGAAUCAAAAACUAAUGAGUUCAACAAGUGGGCCUAGUUGUAAAAGUCACAAAAAUACAAAAACUUAAAGAAAUGAUCAAGAAUUGAACUUACUUGCAGUAAAAAUAUGGAGAACCAGCUUAAGGAAACCCUUCUAUGGUGUUUUAGCUGAUGAGAAUGCAGAAAAAUAAAGAGAAAUCUAGAUAAUUCCACUUUGGUCCUAACUUUAUUAAGUAAAUUUUACAAUAUUCCAAAUUUGCCCUUAAUUCUCCAGACUUUGUUGCUGAUUUCAUGCCCUUGCCGUCCAGCCCAAAUAGACUUUGGAUCUAUUUGCCUUUUAAGCCCUCUUCCUUUUAUCAUUUAAGCUAUUUAAUCAUUUCUCAAAAUUUUGCAUUUAUUACAACUUAGUCCUUUUUGUUCAAUUAAUUAUCGGAACUUUAAAAUUUAUUAACGAAACUUUAAUACUAACUUUUUAACACUCCAUAAAUAUUUAUAAAAAUAUUUAUGGAUCGGUUUAAAAUCUCCGAGGUCUCGAUACCAUGUUUUUUUAUUCUAAUUAUUUUAAUAUUUAUUUCUAGUGCACUAUUCACUAUUUCAAAAAUUUUCCUAACUUCACAUUUAACUUAUACUCACUAAAUUAAUAAUAUUUUCUACUCAUUUGUCGAAUUUAGUGAUCUCGAAUCACAGUUCCGACACCUCUAAAAACUCAGGCCAUUACAUUUUUCCUCGUCGGAGUUGUGGUCCAAAAAUCAUUGUUCCGACUAGACCCAAAAUCGAGUUGUUACAGUCGUUGUCUUGAGCCAUUCGCUCGGUUUUAAUGAAUAUCAGCUUUAUCUCAAAAAAAAAAGUACACCAAAACUUUAUCUUGAUCAUGAUGGACAUCCACUUAAUAAGAUGUUCAUAACAAUAAUUAAUUUUAAUUUUUAUAUAAAAAUAAUAUUUUAUACUUAAAAUAAUGAAAAUAUAUAUUUAAAAAACUACUUUCUAUUUUUACUUGAUAUUUUUAGAAAUAUUUAUAAAAUAUACUUUGAAAAUUUACCAAAUAUUAUUCAAACGUUCAUUUUAUUUAAAUAACUCUAAAAACAAAAAUCUAAUAUAAAAAAUAUAAAAACCAAACCAAUCCAAAUUAAAUUAAAUUAAAACAAAGCUGAUUUUAUUUAGACUGAUCACAUUCUUUGACACAAAUCCUACUCCUCAACGCCGUCUAUUCGGUGCAGCAAUUAAGUGGUGAAAACGGUGGGGAAACUCAUUGGUUUUGCGCUCCAUACGUCAAUAGCAAGACGUCUCUCGUUAUUUGUUGUCUUCUAAAAUUAUAUUUUUAGGGUAGAAAAACAUUUAUUUAAUCUUCCAAUGUCUCAAAAAUUAUUAUCAAAGGUUAAAAUAAUUUGUUUAUUUUAUUUAAUUCUCAAGUUUAAAAUCUAUGUUAUUAAUUAAAUAAAAAUUAUAUACCCUUUUUAAGUUUGGUAUGUGAUAAAAGUUUUUUAUUUCACAUAUAAAUCGCAUACAUCUUAAAGAAAUAAUAUUUCACAUGACAUUUAUAAUUACUCAUAAUUUUUUUAUUCAAAUUGAAUCUAUUAGGGAUGAAUUUAAAAUUAGUAUAAUAGUAAAUAAAUGUUCGGUGUAAUGAUAAAAUAUAUUAUAUUUUUUAAAAAAAUUUCAUAUUUAAAUUUUAAAAAUUACAUUAUUAGGAAAUAAAUAAUGAAUGCUAAAAAGAAUUAAUCUUAACAAAUCGUAAAACGUUGUGAAGAAUACUUUAAUUAUAAAAAGAAAACAAUGAAAGGGAAAUUGGUUAAUGUGGCCAAGUCAAGGUCUUUGCAUUGGCCAUAAAUGAAAACAUUUACUUGUGAAGAUAGGGAGUUGAGACUUUUGUAAGUCAAGGUCUUUGCAAUUUGCAAACGUAUUGAUUGGCUCAACCUAAACACGUGGGAGUGGAAGCAAUAGUUAUAUGCUCUUCAUUUGUUUUUUCUUCAAAAAGAAAAUCAAACUACAUUCUCACCAUGUUAAAAUUGAAUAUAAACUUACUUAGGGUGUGUAGUAAUUUUAAAUUUGUGAAGAUUUUUAAAAUGUUAGUAUCAAGGGGUGAAUCUGAAAUUUUUUGGAAGAGCCGUGAUUAAGUUAUAUAUUUUUAUGAGAGUUUAAAUGUAAUUUUUCUAAUGUUUUAGCAUAUAUCUUUAUAGUUUUAAGGCUACAUCAAAAUUUUAUCAAUUUUAAGGGUUAAACUAUAAUUUUCUUUAGGGGUGAAGCUAGAAUUUUUUUUAGGGGUAAAAUUAAAUUAUAAUUUUUACGAUAGUAAAAAUGUAAUUUCAUCAUUUGAAUAUCCUAUAUUUUUAUAAUUUUUAAAGGAUUAAAUCAAUUUUUUAUCAUUUUUAGGGGUGGCCAAAAUUUACCUUUACUAAUUUAAAAUUUUAAAAAUUCUAAAGGAUCUAAAUGAAAAUUAUUUCAUUUUUGGGGGGACCAGGACCCUUGUCAACCCCCUAAAUAUGCCCCUAAUUUUAUUAUGUAUUAAUUUAAACUUUAAUAAAUUUUGAGGGGCCUAAAGCAAAACUUUCCAAUUUUAGGCCCAAGCCUUUGCCUGCCCUUGAAUUUUAAACUUAUGAAUUGAAAAUAUUAGUAUUUGUAAUUAUUUUGUUUGUAUAAAUAACUUUUUUUAGAAAGAUUUAGAAUAUUGAAUUUUAUGAGUUAAAAUAUAAUUAUGAAAGAAAAUUAAUGAUAUUUUUUGAUAUAGUAUUUAGAACUAUUUAUAGUCUCUCCCCAAUCAUUAAAUAAAAGGAUAACGUACUUCAACGCACUCUAAUCCACAUUUUCCUACACUAGUAAUAAUGUCGAUACCGGUGGAGUUAAGACUCAAUCAACAAAAAAAUUUAAUGAUAUUAAAAAUAAAUAAUAUAAAAUUAUAAAAUUAGAUUUGUAAAAAUAUAUAAAUAUUAUAAAUAAUAUAAAAUAUAUUAAAUAAAUAAAUAAAAAUAACAUGUUGUAGAUGAGAAAAUUUGAAAGACUAACUUUUUCAUAUGAAAUUUGAAUAAAAAAAUUCGAAUUACUCAAAUCACCUUUUAAAAUUUCUUUUAAAUUUUAAAUUCUUAUUUUUAUCUAACCAAGUAAAUAUAUUUUUGAAACUUUUGAAAACCUUAGUAGAAACUAAAUUCUUCCUCUAAACCCCUUAUCCAAAUAUACUUCAAAUUAUACUCUUAGGGUUUAUAAUUUUACAUUCAAUAAAUAACAAAUUUUGUAUUAAAUAAAAGAUAAUUAUUUGAGGUAUUUGUGGCGAAAAUUUUUAACUAUACGAAUAGAUUGAGAAAUUAACACAUAUAUUUAAAUUAUAUUUAAAAAAUUUAAAUAAAUAAAUAAAAUAUGUGAUAAAUUUUUAAUACCACUUGUAAAGAUAAUCUGACACUUCUAUCACAUUUUUACAUUUCAACAAAUAAGUAACUUGAGUUAAAAACAAACUUUAAUUUAAAAUCAGUUUAAACAGGCUUUUAAGGAAAUUUGUUUAUAUUCUAAUUUCAACCUUUGUUAUGAAUUAACUUUUUUUUUUCUUAUAAUAUAUCAAAUAUUAAAAAAAUAAAUCAAGGAAAAUAUGAAUAAGUGGACCUAUUCAUAAACAUUUAGUUUUUUUUUGUUUUUAAUAAACAUUUUCGGCUUCAACGUAUAUGUAUGGGACCUCCCAUGCAAAAUAUUUUAACAACUUGCUAAUAUAUAAAUUAUUUUCAUUUGCAAAGGGUGAGUUUGGAUGGGUUGUGCGUUUACCUGUAGUUAGUAUAAUAACAGCAGUGGCGGUGAUAUUAAAUACUGUAGCGAUACUGUAACGUGAAACAAAAAGUAGACUAAACGCACCGCAUCCAAUCCCCCAUCCAAACUCACCAAAAAUCAUACAAAACAUCCAGUCACACUACAAUAAUUGAACAUUUCUCAUAUCUCAAACCAAAGUGUUCACUCUACCUCUCUUUUUCCAUUUUUCUCCAUAGGCGGCCAGAUAAUUUUCUUCGUCUUGCUUUUUGAUUCAUUUUCUAAGAAACUUCCCAAAAUUUCAUAGUCUAAUAUCUUUAUGAAAAACCCAAUCUUUCAAUCCAUUUUGUGUUCUUUCAAAUCAAGCAAAGAGGAGCUCUAGAAUCCCUCUCCAGAAAUCCUCCAACAUGUUCAUUCAUCGACUCCUUUUUGCUUCAAUAUUCAUAGUGUGUUGCCUCACAACGCUUACAAAUGGAGCUUCACUUCCAAAUGGUGAAGGUAAUUCAUAAUAUUACUCUACAAAGAAGCUUGAUUUGCUUAAUUAUUUUUUUUAAUAAAUUUCAGUACCCUUUUUCUUUUGUUAUAGUGGAAGCUUUGAGAAGUAUUGGUAACACAUUGGGGAAGACAGACUGGAACUUUAAUAUUAAUCCAUGCGAUCAAGGCGAUACUUGGUUGAACCAAUCCACACGUUAUUAUGCUAAUAAUGUUACUUGUGAUUGCUCCUUCAACAAUAACACCAUCUGUCAUGUGGUUCGCAUGUAAGUAUAUACAUAUUAUAAUGAAAAUUUAUCCAUCAUUGAGUUGUGACCAAACUUGAUACAUCUAUUCAUGGAUUAUAUAUAGUUUUAGAUCUCAUCUAAAGUUUACUAAAAGUGAGAGAGAGGCAUGAUACAACUAUGAGAUAGAGAUAUAUAAUAAUUUUGUCUUUGAAAUUGUCCAUUUGUACCUAGUUGGUCCUUAAAACUUUUUUGAACUUAGUUGAUCCCUGAACAUGUAUUUCAUCAAUCAGGUUAGUCCCUCUACACUAGUACCAUUAGUUUGUGCUACUGUGACAUUUUAGCCAAGGACGAAGCUAGAAAUUAUUUUAGGGAAGGCCAAAAUUAAAUGUUAAUUUUUAUGAUAGUAAAAAUGUAAUUUCACAAUUUGAAUAGUCUAUAUCUUUAUAAUUUUUAAAGAAUUAAAUUAAUUUUUUAUAAUUUUGUGGGGUUAAAGUGUAAUUUUACCUUUAUUAAUUUAAAAUUUAAAUAAUCUAAAGGGCUUAAAUGAAAAAUUUUCUAUUUUAGGGAGGUCAGGGCACGACCAACCUCCCUAACUAUGCCCCUAUUUCUAGCCAAUCUAGUAGUACCACGUAGUAACCUCUCAAACAUAAUUUAUAUUUCUUAGUUUAUGUUUAUCAUGUGACAAAAACUAUAAUAAUUAGACUACAAAUAUUCAAAUUAAAAAAAAUAAGAGGAUUAAAUUUUUAAGUUUUAAAAUAAAAAUAUUAAAUCUCAAAUUUUGUAGAAAUACAAGUACUAACUUCAUAUAAUUUGUUAAUAUGUUUUAGGGUUAAAGAGGUUGUGAGACUGUAUGUAUAAUUUUGGUUAGCAACCUCAAUUAAAUAUUUUGUCUUUGUUCAAGAUUUCCUUUUUUGAAUGGGUUAUGACGACUUUUGAAGUUUAAAAACAUAUAUAAAUGUUAAAUAAUUGCUUAAUUAAUUUAUUUAUAUAUUACAUAAAGCUUUUAAUUUUGGGGGGUCAAUAUAAAGCUGUCAAAUUAUGACUUACUUUAUCUUUGACUGUUGAUAAUAAAUUUAUGACAGCUACUUGCUUGCACAAUUUUAUCUAAUUCUCUUAAUAAAAGUCAAUAGGUUGUGAUGUGAUUAAUAAAUUAAUAACAACUAAUUCUAUAUAAUUACAAUUAAAAGAUAUUAUUAUUUAAUUUUUAAUACAAUAAAUGUCAAAUCAAAAUCCAUGAAAUGUGCUGACAGGAGUGGUAAGUGGAUGACAAUGUAGUACAAUUAAUUUAAGAGCCACUGUUUAGGGUGAGUUUGAAUGGGCAGUGCGUUUACCUGCGGUUAGUAUAAAAAUAGCGGUGAUGGUAAAAUUAGAUAUUAUAAUAAUACUGUAGUGUAAGAUAAAAAAUAGGUUAAACGCACCAUACCACAUUCAAUCUCCCAUCCAAACUCACUCGAAAUCGCCACCGCAUGUCGGUCCAACCUUUUGUUGGCCACCAACGUCUCUCUUUUGAAAAAUGCCUUAACAACAUACUAUCCAAUUUUAGCCUUUUACUUUAUUCUUAAUAUAUUUACACGAUACAUAUGUUAGCUUUUUUAGUCUACGACUAGUUUCAUGAUACUUGUUUAAAUUGGAUCAAAUAGAUUAAUUCAAUCCGUUAGAUUAUUGAUUUAGAUAUUUGUAUUAAAUUAAUUGACUCAAGAUUUAGUAUAUAUAGUUUGAAUUGUUUUUUUUUACUUUUUAUUUAUUUAAUUAAAUGGUUUGAAUUGAAUUGGCCGAAUUAAGAAAUUAACAACUUGACUAAAUUGAACGAUGAUUUAAUUUUAAAAAUCUUAAAUGUUACAGACGUAGCACAUGAUUUUAUGUAUUUAACAUUUUAUUUAAAUAAUAUAUUUAUACUUAUUGUAAUUGGUUUUUUAAUACAUUAAUUGAAAUGUUAAACAUAAUUAAUAUAUAUUAAUUUACUCAAUAAUUUAAAUAUAAUAAGAAAAAAUUUUCAAUUAUAAUUAAAACAUUUAUAUUAUAUUAAAAAUGAUAUAUUUUAAAUUGAAAAUUUUUAUAAUAAUAAAUUAAAAUUAAAAUAUUUGUAUUAUAUUUAUAUUCGAUAUACAAUAUAAUUUUAUUUCAUUAAUUAAUUCAAAAUAAUAUUAUUCAAAUAAUAACCAACAUAUAUAUAUAUACUUGCUUUUUUAUUCUAUGACUAAUAUAAAUGUUCUUUUAAUAGCUUAAUUUGAAAUUUACAUAUAAUAAUUAUUUAGAUAUUUCCUUUUUGCUUGAGAUCCAGGGAUAGAAGUAGCCAGGAUCUUCGCUCCAUUACUUAAAUAAAAAUAUUAUUUUUUUAAUCUCUUAGAAUUUAAAAAUUUUAUUUUAAAUAUUUUUAGUCCUUAUAAACUAAAUAAAAAAAUGCUUAAGAUUUUUUUUUAACUUUCAAAAGAAUCUCAAAUUUUUUUAUCUAAAAAUAUUUUAAUUUUUCAAAAUAUUUACUAAAACGAAUCUAAUAAUUAAUUCUCCGUAUUAUGUAGAUUCACGAUUUUAAACAAGAUUAAAAAGAUGGUUAAUGUUAAAAAAUUAUGACUUUUGAUUACCGGGUUUUUACCAAACACAUAUUGAUUCUGAAUGUGAAUUUUUUUAUUAUAGAUUUUAGCAACAGACCCCUAACUUAGUUUCUGUAUCAGAUUGCUUAAGUCACAAAAUCUCUCGGGGACUCUCCCACUAAACUUGACAAGUCUCCCUUUCUUGCAAGAAAUGUAAGCACAUUUCAAGUGUUCCUCUAUAAUGAUAUAUAUAAAUGAAGAUUAUUUGUUUUUCAGCAACUAUAUAUCUACUAAUUUGUUGUUUUAAAACUACUAUUACAGUGACCUAAAUCGCAACUAUCUUAGUGGCACCAUUCCCUCAGAAUGGGGUUCUGCUACCCGACUCGUCGGCAUGUAUGUUUUCUCCUACUUUCUCUUUCAUGGUUGUAUGUAUAUAUCUUUCAUGGUUUUGAAAUAAUUUCUCGUAACUACAAUAUGUACGCAUGUAUAUGUAAAUGUUGUUAAAUGCAAAUGAUGUGCUGUAUUUCAGUUCCCUUUUUGGAAAUCGAUUAACAGGCCCAAUCCCAGUAGAGCUAGCAAAUCUCAGAAAUCUUACCUCCUUGUGAGUUAGAUUAUAUCAAUUUCUUUUAUAUAAAUAAAUAUAUAAGAUGAUGAUAACUUUUUUUCAUCUUUUUAAUGAAUGUCUAAUGGUUAAUUAAUUUUAUUUAUUGAAAAAACAUUGUGUAGAAUCCUUGACAACAAUGGUCUUUCAGGAACUUUGCCUGCAGCACUAGGGAGUCUAUCCAAAAUUGAGCGAUUGUAAGAGAGAUUUUUUUUUUUCCUUUUUAAUUCUAGCUGGAUUUCAUUUCAUUAUAUGUGCAGUAUUUUUUAUCAUGUAAAUGAUUUAAGAUCUAUUUAUUGGUUUUUUCAGACAUCUUGGUUCCAACUAUUUUACUGGUAAAAUACCUGAAACCUUUGCUAGUCUGACUUCAUUGAAGGAAUUGUAAGCAAUUCUAUUUUCUAGUGUUCCUUUUAAUACAUAUCAUUCGAUAUUUUCAAUAUAUUUUAUAUGAUAUAGUUUUGAUAAUUUUGUAUUCUCAACAGUCGGAUUAGUGACAACAAUUUUACAGGACAAAUUCCUGACUUCAUAUUCCGAAAUUGGACAAAUCUUGAAGAGAUGUGAGAAUUUAAUUUAACAUUUUCUUUGUAUACUUUAAGUUUUUUUUUUAAUUCAUUAGAAUUUUUGUUUUAUCAAUCAAUUAAAUGAAUCUAUCAUUUUUGUAAUGACAGAUAUAUGGAGGGAAGUGGUUUGAGUGGACCAAUUCCAUCCAUUAAUGCUACUUUACUUAACUUAACAUACAUGUAAGCUCCUAUGAUCUUAAAAGAUGGUGACAAUAUUCGUUAUAUAAAAAUAAAGACAAUUUAAAUUCUUAUUUUUGUUUGUAUAUGACUCUUGAUAUUGUUGUACAGAAUAAUUAGUGACUUGAAUGGAGCUGAAACAAAUUUUACACAACCACUCAUCGAUGCCAGUUUGCCUAAAUUGGAUAGACUGUAAGCAUAAAUCUGAAAUAAGGCAAAGAUAUAUUAGAGUUAUGAGAUAUUAAGGAGUUCCAAAAACAAAAACAAUGGAAUUAUUUUGUGAUUGAAUUAUAGGAUGUUGAGGAGUUGCAAUCUCAUUGGAGAGAUACCUGCUUCUUUUGGGACAUUUACAUCCAUAAAGAUAUUGUAAGUAAUUACACUUUCUUUUGAGAGGUUCAAGUUCAGUUUGAUUGUAGACUUACGUGUGGUUUAAUACCUGUUUUACAAAUUUUCUUGUAGAGAUCUCAGCUUUAAUAGACUUAGUGGAAAAAUUCGAGAUGAGCUUUCUAAUCUUGAUUUCGAAUAUCUGUAAGGAUAUGGCUUUUAGUUGUAGUUUGUAAAUUGCAUUUUCUUUAUUUAUAUACUCAUUUGGAUUUUAUUAGGUUCUUAAAUGGAAACAAUUUUAAUGGAUCAGUCCCUCAAUGGAUACUCGAAACAAGAGAAAAAGUGUAAGAUUCUCUUUCUUAUUUAAAUGCUCAAUCCCAUUGAUUAUAGUUUGAUUAACCAAAAUCAAAAUUAUUGCACAAAGAUAGUUAAUUAUUAUUUAUUGAUUCUCCUACAUUAAUUAGUAGUCAAGGAUUUGAUCUUCUCACUGUGUAUGAAGUAGUUUUAUAACUCGUGUCCGACAUCUAUCUUCUUAGUGAACAUACAAAUAAAAAGGAUUAAUCAGUGACUUGCUCCGUAUUCUAAAUGCAGGGAUCUUUCUUAUAACAACUUCACAAACACAGGUGUAUCAGAUUGCCGACAAAAUAGCGUGUACGACAACUUCCUCAUCCAACUUCAUUACUGGAUCUUUCUUAUAAAAUAUCAAUCAUUUUUUUGUUAUAAUUUUUCCUCCAUUAUCGACCUGUAGGAACUUGUUCUCAAGCAUUGCAAGAGUCAAUAACACGUAAGUAUUAAGACAACAACAAUCAUUAAACUAAGUCUUUGUCUUUCAUCUAACUUUAUAAUUGUUUUAUCAGGGGAAUUGUUCCAUGUUUGACAAGCCAAAUUACCUGCCCAUCAGAACGUAAGUAUUUAUAUAUAUUUGAUGCACUAAUAAUAUAACUCAAUUAUUUUAUUCAAACUGUUGUUGAUUGUUAUUUUCCUCAGCUUUGCACUUUGUCCAUAUAAAUUGUGGAGGGAGAAAAAUAACUGUUAAUGGCAUCACUUACGAAGCCGAUUUCGGUCAAGCCGGGACUUCGACAUUUUACCGCAGUAUUACCAACUGGGCAUUUAGCAGCACCGGAACUUUUCUAAGCGAUGACCGCCCCGACGACGUCUUAGAUUUGGAAAGUAGACAACUUUCUAGCAAUGGUGGCAAUGAACUGUACACAGAUGCAAGGGUUUCGCCUAGUUCUUUGACUUACUACGCAUUUUGCCUUGCCAAUGCAACUUACAAUGUAAGCCUCCAUUUCGCCGAGAUUCAGUUCACUAAUGGUGAAACUUAUAGCAGCUUAGGGAGGCGGAUGUUCGAUAUUUACAUUCAGGUAUUUUUAAUAUCGUUCUUGCUAGAAUUUCUGUUUAUAUUAUUCUUUAGAUAUAUAUAUAUUACGUUAUCCGGAUUUAAACUGAGUGUCAAAUUUUUCGUAAGAGUAUGUUCCGUGUCUUUAAAAAAUUUAAAAUUUAAGCUAAAUGUUAAAACUAAGCUUUACGACUUGUGCUGCAUGGAAAGUGAAGUUCAAUGGAAUGGAUUAUAUUAAUUGCAGGGAGAGCGGGAGAAGCAAGAUUUCAAUAUUGUAGUAGCAGCAGGAGGGGCAGGCCUAUCAAGAGUAGAAAGAUUCAAUGCAAAUGUAACCGAUGGCACUUUGGAGAUUCAUUUCAGAUGGGCUGGAAAAGGGACGACUUCUUUGCCCGAGAGAAGCAUUUACGGUCCGCUAAUCUCAGGAAUCUCUAUUUUCAAUCCUGGUAGGUUUUCAACUUCCAUUGACUCUUAUUGUCUCCGAUUAAUCGCAUUUACCCGGACAUUUAGAGAACAAAAACUCUAUUCUUGAAUCUAUAUUAUUAUAAAGGGGCGGAUUGAAUUUGGUUAGAAUAAAAUAAAAUAACUUUCUUUAAUUCUGAAAAACAUAAGAAUAAAGGAUAUAACUAUUAUCAAGUAUAAUUUUUUUUAAUUAUAUAAGAUUAAGGGUGGAGAUGGAUUAAUAUAAUUUUUAGCUUCUGACAAGUAGGUUCAUUUUAUUUUUAUUUUUAUCCCCUUUAGUAUCUGAAUUUCACAACUAAAUCCCUUUUUUUAUCCAUAAAAAUUUGAUCAAUUGGCACUUUAUUUAAAAAGAAAAUUCAAGUGAUGACAUGACACAAUCUCAUAGUACCAUGUCAACAAACUUUUACACUUGCCAAAUUCAAAGAUAAAAAUGGACCUAUCUAUCAAUUUUAUAUACCAAAGUGAACAAAAUAAUACAAAUAUUAAAAUAGACUUCAUUGUCAAAUUGAAAGACUAAAAGUUAUAUUAACCCAUAUGUAAUUUAUAAAACUACCAAAUUCAAAUAUAGGUUCCUUAUUUUCUUUUGAGUUAAUAUGUAGUUUUCAGUAAAAGUACAAUAGAAGCCUAUGUAUUAGGAAUCAAAUUUUAUUUUGCUUUAUUUACUAAAAAGUAGAUAAGUUAGUUCUUGUACUUUAUAUCAAAGAGCAAAUUGGUCCUGUAUAUUAAAAUUUUUAUCUAUUUCUAUAGUUAAAAACUAGUCAACUAGCAUGGUUGACGAAAAAACUAACUUCUUAUUUUUAAAAAAAUUAUUUAUUUUUUGAAUUUUAUAUGAAGUGUAAAUGGACUACCACAUCAAUGCUAUUAAAAUUGUCGUGGUCCAAUCAAUUUUUUAUUCAAAAAAAUAAAAAUUUAACUAAAUUUUGAAUACUAAAAACCAAAAUGACAAAAAAGUAACUGCUAGUGCUAAAUUUAUCAUUAUUACUCUACAAAAAUCAUUGAAUUCUGUUGAAGUGAAUUUCUCCCCUUUAUCAAACCUCAAAGACUUAAUCACAUAGCCACUCUUCUUUUCCACAAAAGUUUUCAAAAAAAAAAAAAAUUUAAUGCAUCAAAUUUUUGCUUUAAGAAGUAAACUCAAGUUUUUCUAAAUAGCAAAAAAGCAUUUGUUUUUAGCAAAUGAUACAGCUGACUUUUUCCACACGCAUUGAUAUCAACAUGUUGAAGUGGCUUGACUGCCUUUAAUGUCACUUUUUAAGGAAAGUCCUUCUCUUGCGUUCUUGCUUCGAAGACAUGCCUCACACAAUUAAUUAGGAUAGUUAAUUUACAAAGUUCAAGUGACUAAGCCUUAUAUACUGACAUCAUGAUUCUUUCGAUUAUCUUCAAAUCCAACAUAAAUAUCACAUUAUUUGAGAUGAAUACUUUGCAAUCAAGUUAGAACCAUAAACUUUUAAUUAAAAACAAUUUUUCAUGUGAAAUUUCAAAUUAUUAUUUAAAAUUUUGUCUUAAACUCGAAAUAUUAUUUUAUAGCUUAAGACUAUCUUUUAAAAAUAAAUUAGAAUAUAUAUUUCCAUUGAAUUUCGACUUUCGAAAAGUUUACAAAUGAAACAUUGUCAGAAAAUGUUUUCAUCGUCAUUUUCUUCAUUUUUGAGUGUUCAAAACAAAGUUGGCUUAUCUUUAAUGAGAUUGAUGUUUUCUUCAUUUUUGAUAGUAUCAUUUUGGCAAAUUUAUAAUAAAAGUAACAUUUAACAUUAUACGAGAACACCUCAUUUUGUCUAAUCUCAAGUAAUUUUGUCUUUGCUCUUUCACAAUUUCUAGUUGAUGAGUUACCGCUAUCAUUGUUGCAAUUACUGUGAUCACCUCUUCCACAUCCUCCUUGGCCAAAGCCAUGUCCUCUUCCUCUUUCUCAUCCUCAACAUCAACUUAUUUAUGCUUUUCUUUUCAUUUAUCUUUUAAAUAUAAAUUGGUUUUGAAAACUUGCUCCAAUGACUCAUUUGCUCUUCCUUUAAACUUUUCUUAUUGAUCUUGUAACUCAGUCAUUACUUGGUCAACUGCCGUACAAUCUAAAUAUUUUGACUCAAUGACACAAAUAACGUAAUCAAAUUUUGGAAUCAAGGAAAGAAGAAUAUUUACGUUCAUAUUAUUAUCUUGCAAUGUUUCUUCAUAUCUCUUUAUUUGAUUCAUAAUAGCCAACAUCUUUAAAUAAUGAUUCAAUUUUUUUUUCAAAUUACUUCAUUCGCAAAAUACCAAGUUUAUUUUUCACUUUGUCAACUCCUUAAAAAGAACUUUACAAAACUUUCCAAGCUUCUUUUGUGGUAAUAGCAUUGAUCACUUUCACAAACAUCAAUUCUUCUAAACAUUAGUACUAGUGGACGAGGGUGAAACUUUGUUGAUCCUUCUUUAUUGUCUUUACCAAAGCAUCUUUCUCAUUUUACAAUAAUGAUAAAUUAUUUUGUGGAGGAUAAUAACCAUAUCUCGUGAGAUUGGAUAAGAUAAACCAAAUAAUUAAUUAAUAACAUAUGAACAAAUGUACUUAAAUUUGCAUACAUAAUCUAGAAAUUUAAAUUACAUAUCCAACCAAGGAUAGAACUACACCUCUUUCCUUUUUUCGAUAUCUUAAUAACACUUGUAUAUAAUGAUUUGAACCAAGAUUUUCACGUCGUCUUUGGAGCUGACUCUUAUAUGUAAAGUUUUUAAACCAGGUUAUAAACCUCCAUCAAAAAGCGGCAGUGGUCCUCUACCGAAAAAGGUUGAUCGUAUCUCGACAGCUGCAAUGGCUGGUAUCGUGGCCGGAGCAACGUUUGCUACUUUUUUGAUUGUAGGCAUCUUUUGGUGGAAUUGCUGUUAUAAAUUAGAUGAUGAAAUAUCUGAUGUUCUCUUUGGCGAUGAAUUCCAAAAUGGAAUGGAACUUCGGAAGUUUUCCUUGGUACAAAUAGCUAAAAUGACCAAUAAUUUCAAAGGUGAAAAACUAGGAGAAGGAGGGUUUGGUGUAGUUUAUAAAGGGUACUUGAGGGACUUGGAUACUUAUGUUGCUGUUAAAAGGAUUUCAAAGGCCUCUAAGCAAGGAAUUAAGGAAUAUGCAUCUGAAGUGAAGAUUAUUAGCCGAUCAAGGCACAAGAAUCUUGUGAAGCUUAUUGGUCAGUGUCAUGAAAAAGGAGAACUUAUACUUGUUUAUGAGUUUAUGGCUAAUGGCAGCCUAGAUUCCCAUCUUUUUAAAGGUAAAACCUUAUUGACUUGGGAAGUGAGAUUUAAAAUUGUGCAGGACCUGGCAUCAGCACUAUUCUAUCUACAUGAAGAAGGUGACCAUUGCGUACUACACAGAGAUAUCAAAGCGAGCAACAUUAUGUUAGAUUCUAGUUUCAAUGCUAAACUUGGGGAUUUCGGGCUUGCUAGGCUAGUGGAUCAUGCAAAAGCGUCACAAACCACCCAUUUAGCUGGGACUAUGGGCUAUUUGGCACCUGAAUGCGUUUCAUCGGGAAAGGCUAGCAAGGAAUCGGAUGUCUACAGUUUUGGAGUUGUGGCAUUGGAGAUUGCAUGUGGUAGAAGAUCAAUAGAGCCCAAAUAUGAAGAAUCUCAAGCUUCGUUGGUAGCCUGGGUGUGGAGUGCAUAUGGAAGCCAACGGUUGCCUGAUGUAGCUGACCCAGAACUAUGUAUGAACUUUGAUGCUAAACAAAUGGAAUGCUUGUUAAUGGUUGGACUGUGGUGCGUCCAUCCAGACCAGCAUUUAAGACCAUCUAUAAGGCAAACAAUUCAGGUUUUUAAUUUCGAAGCACCGUUGCCGAAGCUUCCAGGUACGAGGCCAAAUCCCACAUAUGAUGCACAAAUCACUUCAGAAAUUGAAGCAAGUGAGCCAUGUUUUUCUAGUAUGAGUAUUACAGUGCCGCGUUAGACUCAUAUAAUUAUCAUAUACAUAAUAUUCAAAUUUUAAAUUUACACAACAAUGGACAUAGGGCAUAUUUGAGUGUUGGGCUAUUAAUUGGGUCAUGUUUUGGGCUUAGUACUCUCCUAAAUUUUGGACUGUUGUUCCAACAAUUAAUCAACUUUUAAAUACGUCUAAUGGUUGAAUUAAACAAAUUUAAAUUAUCGAUUACAAAAGAACAUAUAAACUUAUAAAACUAAUUUAUUUUUUUUCUUGUUGUAUGUAAUUCUUCCUUUUCAAAUCUAUACUUAUUAUAAAACCUCUUAUUAAAUUGAUGUCACUUUAUAAAAUAAAUUACAUUAUAUUUAGAAUAUUUUUAUCAUUUUAUAUAUUUUUUAUAGAAAAAUAAACACAUAUAAUAAGAUUUUAAGCUCGCAUCUUUUUAUUUUUUUUAAAAAAAAUCAUGUCUCUUUAAAAUUUUUUAGAUUUUUAUAUUACCAUUCAAUCAAAACAUCAUUUAUUGUUUAUAUAUUAUUUUUUAGGAAUAUAUUUAUUAUAUGGUUUAAUUUUUCACCCAACCUAUCAACCAAAAUUCACUAUUCAUGUAUGAAAAUUUCAAAAAUAAUAUUUUUUAAUUUUUAUAUAUUUAGAUUUAAAUUUAAAUAAAAUAAUUUUAAUGAAUAAAUAAAAAUUAAAUCCAGAUCGUGCCUACAGAAAACUUAAAAUUUCCUUAUUCAAGAUCGGGGCUACCAAGCUGCUUAAUCCUUCAAGUAUAAAUAAGGUCCUAUAAUUAUUAAAAUAUUAAAAAAUAAUUUUAUUUUAAUGAUAAUUCAAGUAGAGCUUAGCUCUCCUAAAUGGAAAAAAUCUCUUCCAGACACAACCGAAAGACAAGUCAACAAUUUCUGUAUUACCAAAUAAUAUAGUAUAAAAAUAUUUCAAUUUUUUUUGUUUGGAGGUAACAAUAUUUCAAUUACUAUUCAUAUAUAUGUAUGUAUGUAUAAUAGCUAGUUGGAAUGUAAAACUUUUGCAAGUCAAUUAAUUAGGUCAUUUAUCAUAUCAUUGCCCUCUUUUGUUAACUACUAGUUCAAAAGAUUGAGGAAUAAAUUUGAUUUUAUUUGGGAUUCAUUUUCUACAGUGCUUUAGCUAAUGUUUAAUGAAAUUAAUUGCUUGUUGAUUUAGCUAAUUGCCGGUAGUUUAUGAGUGGCAUUCAAUAUUACUAACUAUAAAUUGCCAUUGAGGUAGUUAAAAGCUCGUCUAAUUUACUUGAAUAAUUUAAUGAAGAAAAUCGUUUAACCUAGUUAUAUGCUAUUUAAUUGAAGAUAUUUUAGUCCCUCUUCUUAGCCUAUUCUAAAAUUGCUCCUGAUAAGAUUUGAAAAAAGAUAACUCAUAUUUUUGCUGAGCUGUAAAAUUGGUUAUUUCAGCUAACUAACUUUAUCCUCUUUAUUACCAAUUUAUGUAUAAAUCUGCUACCCCUACUAUUGACAAAGGCAGACCGGUUAAACGACAUUUCAGCUUACUUCUCUUGUUUGUUGUAUUUUUCUACUCAUGAUACUUGUUUCCUAAUUCCUCUAUGGAAACAAAUUUUUGGGUUUUAGAGAUUGGGUAAAUUAACCCUUCAAAUGUGGAGGAUCGAUUAAGAUUUUGCAAUUGUUUUAGAAGUUAUAUCUUCGAUUGAUUGUAUUUUGAUUAUUAUGAUUGUAUUAACUAUUUUUAAGAAAUUACUUUAUAUUCACUUAAAUUUAAUGUUAGCAAGCCGGAUUGAAUAUAUGAUGAGAGACUUGUAUAGAUUUUGUAUGAAAGUUUAUUGAGUGCAUUCGAAUCUAUUCAUUAAUUAAAUAACAGUUUAUAAGAGAGAGCAAGUUAUAUUGUAAACAUUAUUGAGGGUGUUUGAUGCCUAAGUUCUCAAGGGGGUUUUGGAGGUUAGUAUUCUAGUUCUUGGGUAUAAAUAUGAGAUCUCUAUACUUGGGGAGUGGUGGAGUGUGACUCAUUUUUUAUAUUCGUGUUCAAAGAUAGUAAAAUUACUCACUAAACUAGACUUCGCAAACAUAAGAAAACUGAACUGUGUAAAUAAACCUCGGUGUUAUUUUUAUUUUAUUUGCACGAUUUUUCUCAAUACCAAACCCUAGUGACUACUACAAUCAAGUACUUUCAUUAUAGUUCUGUAUUUCAGCAAAUAAACAGCAUGAAGUAACAACAAGCUUCAAUUUAAAAUCAAUUUAAAAAUACUUUAAAGAAAAUUUGUUUAUAUACCGAUAGUAUUUGAACCUUUCUUAUGAAAUUAAUUUUUUUCUAAUAUUAUAUCAAAUAUUAAAAAAAUAUUCAACUCAAAUUGAAUAUGAGUAUGUAAUUAUUUCUCAAAUUAAAUUUUGACCCUAUUCAUAAACAUUAAUUAGUUUUUUUCUUAAUAAACAUUUUCGGCUUCAACGUAGAAGUAUGGGACCUCCCAUGCAAGAUAUUUUAACAACUUGCUAAUAUAAUAAAGUAUUUUCAUAUCUCAAACUAAAGUGUCCACUCUACCUCUCUUUCUCCAGUUUUCUCCAUAGGCGGCCAGAUAAUUUUCUUCCUCUUGCUUUUUGAUUCAUUUUCAAAGAAACUUCCCAAAAUUUCAUGGUCUAAUAUCUUUAUGAAAAACCCAAUCUUUCAAUCCAUUUUUUGUUCAUUCAAAUCAAGCAAAAAGGAGCUCUAGAAUCCCUCUCCAAAAAUCCAUUAUAGGCUUAUAUAGAUCAAGUUCGGUUCAGGGGAACACAUUUUCCCUAUGACUAUACGGAGAUGAAAAUCUCACGAAGGCAUGGGUACCGAUGUAUCCCGAAAGCAAUCCACUAUCCUAUACGAAGGUGAAAACCUUACGAAGAAAUAGUUUCUCACUCCCACUUAAAAGGACAAAAUCAUUCAACUCAUGUAUAAUGCAAAAAUAACUAAAAUACUUAGAUUGAUUAAGCAAGAAAAUGAUGAAUGCAAAAGGAUCUUAUGAAUUUUUUUUAAAAUUUAUUUUUCGACCAUAAGACAGAAAUUAAUCAACUUUGUGGCUCGGCUCUCUUAUUUUAGUCCCCAGUGGCAUCGCCAAGCUGUCGAAACCAUUUUUUAUUUUGAAAAAAAACUAAAAUUAGUUGUCGACUUUAAAAAAACAAAAAUUGGGAGUCGCCACCAAUCUUUUAUUGAGGUGUGAUUGGAUCACCUAAACAAUAGCUUUGGUCUACGAGUUUUAGAAAAAUGGAUUCAGGAGUCGGUUACAUACAAGGAAGGAUUAGCACCCUCGUAACGCCCAAAAUUGGUACCUAGUUAAUUAAUUAGUGUCUUAAUGUCGAAAAUUUAAAAAUAUGAUCCUUAAUAAAAACUAAAAAACGUUACUUAUUAAGACUCUUACCAUUUCAGAGAAAGAAAAUGUCACACCCAAUGCGUUAGGGCACGACAUUCUAUUUCCUCAAAAAUGAUUUAGUCCAAAAUACUCUUAUAAUAAAAAUUUAAAAGAAUAUCCAUUUAUUUAAGAUUUAAGAAAUCGCGGCCCAAUACGUUAGGGCACAAUUUCUCAAAAUCCUAAACUUGGAAUAUUUCCUUUGUUAUCAUUUUUAAAAAAAAUAUUUGUCUCGAGAAAUCAAUACGUCACAUCCAAUACGUUAGGAUACAACAUAUUAAAUUCCCGACAACAAGCUUUUCAUUUUAUUUUUUGAUUAAUGAGCAACUCUCAAUCGUUAGAUUUAACGAAGAAAAUCGGAACCCAAUACGUUAGGGCUCAAUUUCCUUGAAAAUCCUAAAUACGAGUAUUAUCUCAAUUUUAAAAAUGUUUGAAUAAAAUGAUUUUGAUGUUUGAAUGUUAUCGAAUAUAGCCUUUUAAGCGAAUAAAAUGUGAUAAAUGAUAAUAUACAACAUGAAGUGAUAAUUCGUAAACAAAACAUACACUAAUGAAUGAUAAAUAAUAAAUAAAUUCGAAAGAAAAUACAUAAACCUAUUUAAGAGAGAAUUUAAAGGUAAUAGAUAAAAUAAUAUGAAAUCAAUAAUAUAUAGAAUAAAAAUAAUUUAUUACAAAUUAUAUAUGUAUAUAUAAAAUAGUAUCGUAUAAAAACAUUUUCAUAUAAAUCUUUAAGACAUAUAAAUAUGUAAAAUGAAUUUCGAAAAUAUAUUACAAAAUAGGGAUAUCAAAGACUCUAUACAAAUCAUGUUGAAUUUACCUAAAAUAUAAAAAAGUGUGAUAAAUCGAAAUAAUAGUAAUAUAUAUUGAAUUUCAAAAUAAUGAUACAUUAUAUUUUUUUACAAAGGGUAAUAUAUACAUAUAAUUCAAUAAACUUAUAGCCAUAAUACAUAUAAAACGUAAAAUAAAAUGGAAAAUACUAAGCUUAAUCAUUAAAAUAGUAUUAGAUUCAAAAUUAAAUAUAUUUAAAAAAAAUAGUGGUGUAAGAAAUCAAGCACAUUGAAUUAACAAGGAUUUAAAUUGAACUCCAAACAGAAUUAAAGGAAAAAAAAUGAAGGCCUAAUUAAAAGGCGCGAAUAACUCAUAGGGCUUGAAAGGGGAAAUAUCUCCAUCCUUUGAAAUGCGUCACUUUAUUAGGGCUAAAUAAAUAAAUAAAAUUCGCAAUGGUAUCACCUUCUCCCUUUUUUUAAAAUCGUAAAUAAGUAAAAAAAAAAAUAAUAAGCCACCUUUAAAAAACUGCCAAUCGUUCUCCUUUUUUUUAUUGAUUUUUUUCCUCCCUCCACAAUGAAGGGAGAGGCCUCUAUUUAUAGUUGAGCCUCUCCAAAUCCAACGGUACAGAUCAAUUACAUCAACGACUAAGAUUAAAGGGUAUCUACAAAUUAAAUCUCUAAGAUUACAAAAUCAUAUCUUCCAAGAUUGCAUAUCAUAUCUAAGAUUGCAUAUAUCAGAUCUAAGAUUGCAUAUCCUUGAAGAUAAUGUUUCCAUAAGCUUGUAGAUGGACCUUCAACCUUUUUAAGUAAUGGGUCAUUCCAAUCAGGUCAAAUGAUAUAAUUUUGUACUGGGCUUAGACUUUAUUUUAUUAUUGUAAGCCCGGGCUAAAAUUGGGUAUUACAAGGAGGGUUUGGUGUAGUUUAUAAAGGGUACUUGAAGGACUUGGAUACUUAUGUUGCUGUUAAACGGAUUUCAAAGGCCUCUAAGCAAGGAAUUAAGGAAUAUGCAUCUGAAGUGAAGAUUAUUAGCCGAUCAAGGCACAAGAAUCUUGUGAAGCUUAUUGGCCAGUGUCAUGAAAAAGGAGAACUUAUACUUGUUUAUGAGUUCAUGGCUAAUGGCAGCCUAGAUUCCCAUCUUUUUAAAGGUAAAACCUUAUUGACUUGGGAAGUGAGAUUUAAAAUUGUGCAGGACCUGGCAUCAGCACUAUUCUAUCUACAUGAAAAGGGUGACCAUUGCGUACUACACAGAGAUAUCAAAGCGAGCAACAUUAUGUUAGAUUCUAGUUUCAAUGCUAAACUUGGGGAUUUCGGACUUGCUAGGCUAGUGGAUCAUGCAAAAGCGUCACAAACCACCCAUUUAGCUGGGACUAUGGGCUAUUUGGCACCUGAAUGCGUUUCAUCGGGAAAGGCUAGCAAGGAAUCGGAUGUCUACAGUUUUGGAGUUGUGGCAUUGGAGAUUGCAUGUGGCAGAAGAUCAAUAGAGCCCAAAUAUGAAGAAUCUCAAGCUUCGUUGGUAACCUGGGUGUGGAAUGCUUAUGGAAGCCAACGGUUGCCUGAUGUAGCUGACCCAAAACUAUGUAUGAACUUUGAUGCUAAACAAAUGGAAUGCUUGUUAAUGGUUGGACUGUGGUGCGUCCAUCCAGACCAGCAUUUAAGACCAUCUAUAAGGCAAACACUUCAGGUUUUUAAUUUCGAAGCACCGUUGCCGAAGCUUCCAGGUACGAGGCCAACUCCAACAUAUGAUGCACAAACCACUUCAGAAAUUCAAGCGAGCCAUGUUUUUCGGGUAUGAGUAUUACAGUCCCGCGUUAGACUAAUAUAAUUAUCACAUACAUAAUAUUCAAAUUGAUAAAAGAUGUCUAUUUACAAUAAUAUAUAUAUAUAUAUCAAUACAUAUUUUAAAUUUUAAAUUUACACAACAAUGGACAAUGAUCAAAAAUAUGGCCGAAUAUUUGCUUGCCCGAAAAAACGAAAAUACCCAAAAGGCAGACCCAAUCUGCCAUAGUUUUGUCAUUAAAAAUAAAUAGAAUUUAACAUGGGGCAUAUUUGAGUGUUGGGCUAUUAAUUGGGUCAUGUUUGGGGCUUAGUUUUUUUAUUCAAAACUCUCCUAAAUUGUGGACUAUUGUUCCAACAAUUAAUUCAACCUUUAAAUACGCUAAUGGUUGAAUUAAACAAAUUUAAAUUAUCGAUUACAAAAGAACAUAAAAACUUAUAGAACUAAUUUAAUUUUUUCUUAUUGUAUGUAAUUCCACCUUUUCAAAUCCAUAUUUAUCAUAAAAUCUCUUAUUAAAUUGAUGUCAUUUUAUAAAAUAAGUUGUAUUAUAUUGAGAGUGUUUUUUUUUUAUAUUUUUUAUAUAGAAAAAUAAACAGAUAUAACCAAAGUACUUAAACUCGCAUCUCUUUAAUUUAAAAAAAACCAUAUCUCUGUUUUUUUUUUAGAUUUUUAUUUUACCAUUCGAUCAAAAUUACGUUUAUAUAGUUUUUUUUUAUGAAUAUAUUUGGUUUAAGUUUUCACCCAACCUAUCAACCAAAAUUCACUAUUUUUAUAUGAAAAUUUUAAAACAAAUUAUAUAUUUAGAAUUAAAUUUAAAUAAUUAAUAAAUAAAAAUUAAAGCCAGAUCGUGCCUACACAAAAUUAAAAUUUCCUUAUUCAAGAUCGGGCCUACCAAGCUGCUUAAUCCUUCAAGUAUAAAUAAGGUCCUAUAAUUAUUGAAAUAUUAAAAAAUAAAUUUAUUUUUAAUGAUAUUUAUAUUUUAAAGCCAACUUUGAAUGAAAUUAAUUUAUUGAUAAUUCAAGUGGAGCUUAGCUCUCCUAAAUGGAAAAAUCUAGCUUCCAGACACAACCGAAAGACAAGUCAACUAUUUCUCCACUACCAAAUACUAUAGUAUAAAAAUAUUUCAAUUUGUUUUUGAAGGUAACAAUAAUUCAAUUACUAUUCAUAUAUGUAUGUAUGUAUGUAUGUAUGUAUAAUAGCUAGUUGGAAUGUAAAACUUUUGCAAGUCAAUAGACAUUCUCAUGCUAUCACCCUAAUAUUAAUUACGUCAUUUAUCAUAUCAUUGCCCUCUUGUGUUGACUAUUAGUUCAAACGAUUGAGGACUAAAUUUAAUUUUAUUUUGGAUUCAUUUUCUACGGUGCUUUGGGCGUAUGAUUGAGAUUCUAAAUCUUAGAGCUUUAGCUAAUGUUUAAUGAAAUUGAUUGCUUUUUUUUGGGGGGGGGGGCGGUUUGGGUGUUGAUUUAGCUAUUCGUUUAUCGUUUUGAUUUUAUGAGUGACAUUUAUGGUAUCAACUAUAGAUUGUCAUUGAGGUGGUUAAAACUGUCUUAUUUGCUUUAAUUAUUUAAUGAAGAAAAUCGUGGUUAUGUAUUGUUUUGAAGAAAUUUUGGUCCUCUUGUUAGCAUAUUCUAAAAUUGUUCCUGAUCAGAUUUGAGGUUCUGGAUAAUUCAUCAUUUUUGCUGAGCUGUAGAAUUGGUUAAUUGUAGAAUUGAUUAUUUCAGCUAACUAACUUUAUCCUCUUUAUUACCAAUUUAUGUAUAAAUCUGCUACCCCUAUACUAUUGAAAAAGGCAGACUGGUUAAAUGACAUUUCAGCUUACUUUUCUUGUUUGUUGUAUUUUUCUAAUCAUAAUACUUGUUUUCUAAUUCCUCUAUGGAAACAAAUCUUUGGGUUUUAGAGAUUAGAUUGGAUUCAAGUGAACCAAAUCAAUCCUUGGAAUGUGGGGGAUUGAUCAAGAUUAUGUAGCUAUUUAGAAGUCAUAUUUUCGAUUGAUUGUAUUUAGAUUAUUAUGAUUGUAUUAGCUAUUUUUAAGAAGUUACUUUGUAUUCACUUAAAUUUAAUGUUAGCAAGCCGAAUUAAAUAUAUGAUGAGAGGCUUGUAUAGAUUUUGUAUAAAAGUUUAUUGAGUGCAUUCAAAUCUAUCCAUUAAAUAAUAGACGUUUUAUGAGAGAGCAAAUUAAUAUUGUAAACAUUAUUGAGGGUGUAUGAUGCCCAAGUUCUCAAGGGGGAUUAUUAUAGUUUUAGGUACAAAUAUGAUUUCUCUAUACUUGGAGAGUGGAGUGUGAAUCAUUUGUUGUAUUCGUGUUCAAAGAUAGCGAAAUUACUCACUAAACUAGGCUCCGCAAAUAUCGAGAAAUCGAAUUGUGUAAAUAAACCUCUAUGUUAUUUUUAUUUUAUUUGCACGAUUUUUCUUAAUGCCAAGUCCUAGUGACUACUACAAUCAAAUACUUUCAUUAUAGUUUUGUAUUUCAGCAAAUAAACAACAAGAAGUAACAACAAGCUCCAAUUUAAAAUCAAUUUAAAAAUACUUUAAAGAAAAUUUGUUUAUAUACCAAUAGUAUUUGAACCUUUCUUAUGAAAUUAAUUUUUUCUAAUAAUGUAUCAAAUAUUAAAAAAAUAUUCAACUCAAAUUGAAUAUGAGUAUGUAAUUAUUUCUCAAAUUAAAUUUUGGCCCUAUUCAUAAACAUUUAGUUUUUUUCUUAAUAAACAUUUUCGGCUUCAACGUAGAAGUAUGGGACCUCCCAUGCAAGAUAUAUAUUUUAGCAACUUGCUAAUAUAAUAAAGUAUUUUCAUUUGCAAAGUCAUACAAAACAUCCAGUCACACUACAAUAAUUGAACAUUUCAUAUAUCUCAAACUCUACCUCUCUUUUUCCAUUUUUCUCCAUAGGCGGCCAGAUAAUUUUCUUCCUCUUGCUUUUUGAUUCAUUUUCAAAGAAACUUCCCUAACUUUCAUAGUCUAAUAUCUUUAUGAAAAACCCAAUCUUUCAAUCCAUUUUGUGUUCAUUCAAAUCAAGCAAAAAGGAGCUCUAGAAUCCCUCUCCAAAAAUCCUCCAACAUGUUCAUUCAUCGACUCCUUUUUGCUUCAAUAUUCAUAGUGUGUUGCCUCACAACGCUUACAAAUGGAGCUUCACUUCCAAAUGGUGAAGGUAAUUCAUAAUAUUACUCUACAAAGAAGCUUGAUUUGCUUAAUUAUUUUUUUUAAUAAAUUUCAGUACCCUUUUUCUUUUGUUAUAGUGGAAGCUUUGAGAAGUAUUGGUAACACAUUGGGGAAGACAGACUGGAACUUUAAUAUUAAUCCAUGCGAUCAAGGCGAUACUUGGUUGAACCAAUCCACACGUUAUUAUGCUAAUAAUGUUACUUGUGAUUGCUCCUUCAANNNNNNNNNNNNNNNNNNNNNNNNNNNNNNNNNNNNNNNNNNNNNNNNNNNNNNNNNNNNNNNNNNNNNNNNNNNNNNNNNNNNNNNNNNNNNNNNNNNNAAGUAUAUACAUAUUAUAAUGAAAAUUUAUCCAUCAUUGAGUUGUGACCAAACUUGAUACAUCUAUUCAUGGAUUAUAUAUAGUUUUAGAUCUCAUCUAAAGUUUACUAAAAGUGAGAGAGAGGCAUGAUACAAAUAUGAGAUAGAGAUAUAUAAUAAUUUUGUCUUUGAAAUUGUCCAUUUGUACCUAGUUGGUCCUUAAAACUUUUUUGAACUUAGUUGAUCCCUGAACAUGUAUUUCAUCAAUCAGGUUAGUCCCUCUACACUAGUACCAUUAGUUUGUGCUACUGUGACAUUUUAGCCAAGGACGAAGCUAGAAAUUAUUUUAGGGAAGGCCAAAAUUAAAUGUUAAUUUUUAUGAUAGUAGAAAUGUAAUUUCACCAUUUGAAUAGUCUAUAUCUUUAUAAUUUUUAAAGAAUUAAAUUAAUUUUUUAUAAUUUUGUGGGGUUAAAGUGUAAUUUUACCUUUAUUAAUUUAAAAUUUAAAUAAUCUAAAGGGCUUAAAUGAAAAAUUUUCUAUUUUAGGGAGGUCAGGGCACGACCAACCUCCCUAACUAUGCCCCUAUUUCUAGCCAAUCUGGUAGGAGCACAUAGUAACCUCUCAAACAUAAUUUAUAUUUCUUAGCUUAUGUUUAUCAUGUGACAAAAAUUAUAAUAAUUAAACUACAAAUAUUAAAAUUAAAAAAUAAAAAAAAUAAAUUUUUAACUUUUAACAUAAAAAAAAUUGAAUCUCAAAUUUUAUAGAAAUACAAGUACUAACUUCAUAUAAUUUGUUAAUAUGUUUUAGGGUUAAAGAGGUUACGAGAGUACAAUCUGUAUAAUUUUGGUUAGCAGCCUCAAUUAAAUCUUUUGUCUUUGUUCAAGAUUUCCUUUUUUGAAUGGGUUAUGACGACUUUUGAAUUUUCUAAACACGUACAAAUGUUAAAUAAUAUUUAUGAGAGCUACUUGCUUGCACGGUUUUAUGUAAUUCUUUUAAUGAAAGCGAAUAGGAUGUCUUAAUGAUUUUAAAGAUAUUAUUAUUUAAUUAUUCAUGCAAUAAAUGUCAAAUCAAAGUGCAUGAAAUGAGCUGACAGGCGUGGCAAGCUAGUACAAUUAAUUUAGGACCCACUGCUGGCUAUUCAAUGGAGUCGCCAUCGCAUGUCGGUCCAACCUUUUCUAUAUAAUUAAUAAAUUAAUAACAACCAAUUCUAUAUAAUUACAAUUAAAAGAAAUCCAAUUCCACUCAUCAAUUCUUUAAUGAUUUUAAAUGUAAAUAAAUUAUUAAAACUAUUUUAUAUAUUUUCAAUGCAAUAAAUGUCAAAUCAAAGUCCAUGAAAUGAGCCGACAGGAGUGGCAAGUGGAUGACAAUUAAUUUAAGAGCCACUGCUGCCUAUUCAAUGGAAUCGCCAUCGCAUGUCGGUCCAACCUUUCGUUGGCCGCCAAUGUCUCUUUCUUCUGAAAAAUGCCUUAACAAGAUACUAUCCAAUUUUAGCCUUUUACUUUAUUGUUAAUACAUAUUCACGCAUAUACAUAUAUUAGCUUUUUCAGUCUACGACUAAUUUCAUCAUACUUAUUUAAAAUGGAUUAAUUCAAUCGAAUUAAAUUAUUGAUUUAGAUAUUUGUAUUAAAUUAAUUGACUCAAGAUUCAGUGACUAUAGUUUGAAUUGAUUUUUUUUACUUUUUUAUUUAUUUAAUUAGAUCGUAUGAAUUGGCCGAAUUAAAAAAUUAAUAACUUGACUAAGUCGAGUAAUGACUUAAUUCUAAAAAUCUUAAAUGUCACAGAAGUAGCACUUGAUUUUAUGUAUUUAACAUUUUAUUUAAAUAAUAUAUUUAUACUUAUUGUAAUUGGUUUUUUAAUACAUUAAUUAAAAUGUUGAACAUAAUUAAUAGAUAUUAAUUUAUUUAAUAAUUUAAAUAUGAUAAAAAAUUUUGAAUUAUAAUUAGAACAUUUAUAUUAUAUUAAAAAUGAUAUAUUUUAAAUUGAUAAUUUUUAAUAAUAAUAAAAUUAAAAAUCAUAAUUAAAAUAUUUGUACUAUAUUUAUAUUCGAUAUACAAUAUAAUUUUAUUUCAUUAAUUAAUUCAAAAUAAUAUUAUUCAAAUAAUAACCAACAUAUAUAUAUACUUGCUUUUUUAUUAUAUGACUAAUAUAAAUGUUCUUUUAAUAGCUUAAUUUGAAAUUUACAUAUAAUAAUUAUUUAGAUUUUUCCUUUUUGCUUGAGAUCCAGAAGCAGGCAGGAUCUUCGCUCCAUUACUUAAAUAAAAAUAUGAUUUUUUUAAUCUCUUAGAAUUAAAAAAUUUUAAUUUAAAUAUUUUUAAUCCUUAUAAACUAAAUAAAAAAAUGCUUAAGAUUUUUUUUAACUUUCAAAAGAAUCUCAAAUUUUUUUAUCUAAAAAUAUUUUAAUUUUUCAAAAUAUUUACUAAAACAAAUCUGAUAAUUAAUUCUCUGUAUUAUGUAGAUUCACGAUUUUAAACAAGAUUAAAAAGAUGAUUAAUGUUAAAAAAUUAUGACUUUUGAGUACCGAGUUUUUACCAAGCAGAUAUUGAUUCUGAAUGUGAAUUUUUUUUAUUGUAGAUUUUAGCAACAGACCCCUAACUUAGUUUCUGUAUCAGAUUGCUUAAGGCUCAAAAUCUCUCGGGGACUCUCCCACUAAACUUGACAAGUCUCCCUUACUUGCAAGAAAUGUAAGCACAUUUCAAGUGUUCCUCCAUUCUGAUAUAUAUAAAUGAAGAUUCUUUGUUUUUCAGCAACUAUAUAUCUACUAAUUUGUUGUUUUAAAACUACUAUUACAGUGACCUAACUCGCAACUAUCUUAAUGGCACCAUUCCUUCAGAAUGGGGUUCUGCUACCCGACUCGUCAGCAUGUAUGUUUUCUCCUACUUUCUCUUUCAUGGUUGUAUGUAUAUAUCUUUCAUGGUUUUGAAAUAAUUUCUCGUAACUACAAUAUGUACGCAUGUAUAUGUAAAUGUUGCUAAAUGCAAAAGAUUUGUUGUAUUCCAGUUCACUUCUUGGAAAUCGAUUAACAGGUUCAAUCCCAAGAGGACUAGCAAAUCUCAGAAAUCUUACCAGCUUGUGAGUUAUAUUAUGGCAAUUUCUUUUAUAGUUUUACAUAAUUUUUUUUCCAUUUUUUAAUGAAGGUCUAAUGGAUAAUUAAAUUUAUUUAUUGAAACAUCAUUGUGUAGAGUCCUUGAGAACAAUCGUCUUUCAGGAACUUUGCCUGCAGCACUAGGGAAUCUACCCAAAAUUGAGCGACUGUAAGAGGGACUUUUUUGUUUCUUCUUAAUUCCAGCUGAAUUUCAUUUCAUUACAUGCAGUAGUUUUAUUAUAUAAAUUAUUUAAUAUCUAUUUACUGGUUUCUUCAGGCAUCUUAGUUCCAACAAUUUUACUGGUGAAAUACCUGAAAUGUUUGCUAACCUAACUUCAUUGAAGGAAUUGUAAGCAAUUCUAAUUUCCAUAUACGAAUGAAUAUUUUAUAUAUCUCAUGUCUGAAUAUAUCUUCAAAUAAAGUUCUUAUUAUACAUAUCAUUUGGAAUUUUUAAUAUAUUUUAUAUGCCAUAGUUAUGAUAAUUUUGUUCUCUCAACAGUCGGAUUAGUGACAACAACUUUACAGGACAGAUUCCUGACUUCAUAUUCCGAAAUUGGACAAAUCUUGAACAGAUGUGAGAAUUAUAAUUAUAAGAUUUUGAUGCAUUUUGUAAGUCUAUAUUUUUCAUUAGAAAUAUUUUUAUUUUAUUAAUCAAUUAAAUGAAUUCUUCUUUCCUAAUGACAGAUAUAUAGAGGCAAGUGGUUUGAUUGGGCCAAUUCCAUCCAUUAAUGCUACUUUAGAAAACUUAGAAUACAUGUAAGCUCCAAUGAUCUUAAAAGGUGGUGACAAUAUUCAUUACAUAAAAAUAAACACAACUUAAUUUCUUAUUUAUGUUUGUAUAUGGUUCUUGAUAUUGUUUUACAGAAUAAUUAGUGACUUGAAUGGAGCUAACACAACUUUUUCACAAUUGGUCAUCGAUGCCACUUUGCCUAAAUUGGAUAGAUUGUAAGCAUGAACUCUGGAAUAAAGCAAAGAUUUUUGGAAGUUAUGAGAUAUUGUGGAGUUCUAAAAGAAUAAUGGAAUUAUUUUGUGAUUGAAUUAUAGCAUGUUGAGGAGUUGCAAUCUCAUUGGAGAGAUACCUGCUUCUUUUGGGACAUUUACAUCCAUAAAGAUAUUGUAAGUAAUUACACUUUCUUUUGAGAGGUUCAAGUUCAGUUUGAUUGUAGACUUACGUGUGGUUUAAUACCCGUUUUACAAAUUUUCUUGCAGAGAUCUCAGCUUUAAUAGACUUAGUGGAAAAAUUCCAGAUGAGCUUUCUAAUCUUGAUUUCGAUAAUAUGUAAGGAUAUGGCUUUUAGUUGUAGUGUGUAAAUUGCAUUUUCUUUAUUUAUAUACUCAUUUGGAUUUUAUUAGGUUCUUAAAUGGAAACAAUUUUAAUGGAUCAGUCCCUCAAUGGAUACUCGAUACAAGAGAAAAAGUGUAAGAUUCUCUUUCUUAUUUAAAUGCUCAAUCUCAUUGAUUAUAGUUUGAUUAACCAAAAUCAAAAUUAUUGCACAAAGAUAUUUAAUUACUAUUUAUUGAUUCUCCUACAUUAAUUAGUAGUUAAAGAUUUGAUCUUCUCGCUGUAUAUGAAGUAGUUUUAUAACUCGCGUCCGGCAUCUAUCUUCUUAGUGAACAUACAAAUAAAAGGGAUUAAUCAGUGACUUGCUAGAUAUUGAAAAUAAUACUCUAAAUGCAGGGAUCUUUCUUAUAACAACUUCACAAACACAGGUGUAUCAGAUUGCCGACAAAAUAGCGUGUACGACAACUUCCUCAUCCAACUUCAUUACUGCAUCUUUCUUAUAAAAUAUCAAUCAUUUUUUUGUUAUAAUUUUUCCUCCAUUAUCGACCUGUAGGAACUUGUUCUCAAGCAUUGCAAGAGUCAAUAACACGUAAGUAUUAAGACAACAACAAUCAUUAAACUAAGUCUUUGUCUUUCAUCUAACUUUAUAAUUGUUUUAUCAGGGGAAUUGUUCCAUGUUUGACUAGCCAAAUUACCUGCCCAUCAGAACGUAAGUAUUUAUAUAUAUUUGAUGCACUAAUAAUAUAACUCAAUUAUUUUAUUCAAACUGUUGUUGAUUGUUAUUUCCUCAGUUUUGCAAUUUGUCCAUAUAAACUGUGGAGGGAGAGAAAUAACUGUUAAUGACACCAUUUAUGAAGCCGAUUACGAUGGAGCCGGGCCUUCGACAUUUUACCGAAGUACCAACUGGGCAUUUAGCAGCACCGGAAUUUUUCUAAGCGAUGACCGCCCCGACGACAUCUUAGUUUUGGACAAUAGACAAGUGUCUGUCGAUGGCGAUGAAAAACAACUCUACGAAAGUGCAAGGCUUGCGCCUAGCUCUUUGACAUACUAUGCAUUUUGUCUCGCCAAUGCAACUUACUCAGUAAACCUCCAUUUCGCUGAGAUUCAGUUCACUAAUGAUCGAAAUUAUAGCAGCUUGGGGAGACGCAUAUUUGAUGUUUACAUUCAGGUAUAUUUUUAGUAUCAUUCUUGUUAGUAUGUUAUCCUGAUUCUGUUAGAGUGUUGAAUUUUAUAUAUAUACAUACACAAAUAUUGAUUUACAACAUGUGCUUACAUGGAAAGUAGUGUUAAAUGGAAGGGAUAAUAAUUGCAGGGAAAGCAGGAGCUGAAGGAUUUCAAUAUUGAAGAAGAAGCUGGAGGGGCAGGCAUACCAAAAGUAAAAAACUUCACUGUAAAUGUAACGGAUAGCACUUUGGAGAUCCGUUUCCAAUGGGCCGGGAAAGGGACAACUUCUAUACCGGAGAGAAGCAUUUACGGUCCUCUUAUCUCAGCAAUAUCUAUUUUAGAUCCUAGUAAGUUUUCAAUUCAACUGACUCUUUUUUUGUUAUAGCACGCCUAUAUAUAAUGCUUCCAACAAAUAUUUUCAUGUCAUCUUUGCUACUAAUUGCUAUAAGAAAAUGUUUCCAAACAGCUUAUAAACCUCCAUCAGAAAGCGACGGUGGUAUUGCGACAGCUGCAGUGGUCGGUAUUGUGGGCGGAGCAGUGUUUGCUGCUUUGUUGAUUUUAGGCAUUCUUUGGUGGAAGGGCUGUUUAAAACAGAAGAGUACUUUGGAACAAGGUAUUUAGGCAGAAUAUCAUUGUACUCUGUUGCAUACGUCAGUCGCGCAACGCCUUUAUUUUGCGAUUUUCCGUUCUUUUUUUAUAUUGAUAUUCAUCGCAAUUGAUCAUAAUCUCAUAUGUUAUGCGACUAAAAACACGUUUGUGAUCGCAGUUUAAACCCUGCCAUCCCUUCUAAUUGGAUUAACAUGUUCCACAGAUCUAAAAGGUAUAGAGUUGCAGACAACUUCCUUUACCUUAAGGCAAAUUAAAGCUGCUACAAACGAUUUUCAUGCUUCUAAUAAGAUCGGAGAAGGUGGUUUUGGUCCCGUUUACAAGGUAAUCAUAUGCAACACUUCCAGUAGGUAAAUUGUUCAUUAUAGAACCUGGUAAUCAUUGUUUUCUUUUUCAUUUCAAACGCAGGGUACUCUAGCAGAUGGCACAGUGAUUGCUGUGAAGCAGCUAUCAGCUCGAUCGAAACAAGGAAACCGUGAGUUUGUGACUGAGAUUGGCAUGAUUUCAGCUCUACAACACCCUCAUCUGGUAAAGUUGUACGGCUGUUGCAUUGAAGGAAAUCAAUUGAUGCUUAUAUACGAGUACUUGGAAAACAACAGCCUUGCUCGGGCAUUAUUUGGUACAAACCCCAUACAAAUGUCUAUUUGUUCUAACACGAAUGUGAAGUAUGUGAAUAUGUGUUUGUGUAUGUGUGUAUCUGAGUUACUCCUUUUAUUUUGGUAAUGAAAAGGGACACAAGAGUCUCAGUUGACAUUAGACUGGCCAACAAGAAUGAAGAUCUGCAUUGGUAUAGCUAGAGGGUUAGCUUACCUCCAUGAGGAAUCAAGGUUGAAGAUUGUGCAUAGAGACAUAAAGGCCACUAAUGUGUUGCUUGAUAAGAAUCUAAACCCUAAAAUAUCUGACUUCGGUUUGGCCAAGCUUGAUGAAGAAGAAAAUACCCACAUUAGUACCCGAAUUGCAGGAACUUAGUAAGUCUCUUUUCAGAUUCAUUCUCAAAUCUUCAUUGAUGUCAAACCUAUAAGAAGCUGUAUUUAAUUGAUGAUGUUAAAUUUGCAGUGGCUAUAUGGCUCCUGAGUAUGCAUUGCAUGGCCAUUUGACAGAGAAAGCGGAUGUUUAUAGUUUUGGGAUAGUGGCUCUCGAAAUUGUUAGCGGGAGGUGCAACACUAAAAGCCGCCCAAAGCAAGAACCUUUCAUUCUCCUUGAAUGGGUAAAUUAAGUUCUCAUUCUUUCUUCCAUUAUGAAUUUGAAUGUGGCAAUUAAAUUUUGUGUGUUUUAUAGGCUCAUGUUUUGAAGGAGAAUGGGAACUUGUUGGAAUUAGUUGAUACAAGGAUUGGCUCAGAUUGCAACACAGAUGAAGUCAUGGCAAUGAUCAACAUUGCACUAUUGUGCACAAAUCCCACUUCUUCAGCUAGGCCUUUAAUGUCUUCGGUAGUGAGCAUGCUUGAAGGCAAGGCUGAAGUUCACGAAUACCUCACAGAUUCAAGCAUUUCUUCAAAUCGUCAAAUGAGUGCAGAGAUUAUGAAAAAGUUGUAUCGGAAACUUGAAGAAGAUGAUACAAAUGUUAGCCAAACAAGGAGUAUGUUAGCUGAUGGGCCAUGGACCAAUUCUUCUACAUCUGCUGCUGAUCUUUAUCCAGUUAGUUUGACUUCUGGAUAUUUGCAGAAUAGAGAUUCCACAAAUUAGAAAAAAAUUUGUAUAAUUCUCUUGUCUGGUUUCUCCCCAGAAAAUUCGUAUUCCUUUGAAACCAAGGCUUAAUUAGCUCAUUUGAUUCAGUCAAAAACCGAAAGUCACAUUCAAUAAUUUUGACAUUUGAAAUACUAAAAUUAUAAGUAAAGUGUAUUUUAAUUUUAUGCAAUUUUAUACAUAAAAUUUUGAUUUGAUAUAAUUCUUGUAAAUUAUUUACAUAAUUAUUGAUUUAACAUCAUUUUAUAUUUAUAUAUUGCAUACAUGAAUAAUUAAAUUUAUCCAAUUUAAAAAUAAAUUGAUAUAUUUAUUUUUUAAGAUGUGCAUGAUUAAAUCAAAAUUAAAAUUUUAAAUAUACAUCUGAACCACAAUUAGGGUUACACGUAUAUAAUUACAAAUUAAAUUAAAAUUCAUGUAUACAAUUACACAUUAAAUCACAAUUUAUAUAUAAUUUUGAUAUCUAUCUUUUUUAACUUCUCUUAUUAUCAAACUUCAACCGAGGCUUUUGGUUCUUGAACAGGAAAUGUUGAAGAUGUUGAAAUGCCUGGUGGGUUCAAUUACCUUAAUAUAUAACAUCCUAGAAAGGAUGCUUCAGGUGACUGGGAAAUCCAAAAUCUUUCUUCUCUUUUGAGUCAUGUUGUAACCAAAAAUUUAAUCAUAUUCAUUAUUUGUACUAAUUAAUAACCUUAUAAAAAUAUAAAAAUUAAACCAUAUUUAAAUUUAAAUUUAAAUAAUCUUGUAAAAUGAAAAAGAAAAAAGAGCAUGCAGUUGGUGUCCACGUAACAUGAUAACUUUAUCGAGUAAAAAUAAAAUAUAAAAAUAUUAAAUACAAAAAAUGACAUUUAAAUUUUUUUGACAGUAUUCUGUAUUUUAAAUAAAUAAAAAAGUCUUUAAUUCAAAUUAGGUUGGUGUACGCAAAAUUUUUUAUUGAAAUUUCAUUGGAAUUGAUAUAUGAAUACAUUUAAUUUUUAAUUAAAAAUAUUUUUGUUCAAAUAUAUAUAGAUAGAAGUAGGGGUGAGCAUUCGAUCGAAUCGAAUCGAAUCGAAUCGAAUCGAAAAUUUUCGAGUUAAUCAAGUUUUCGAAUCUCAUUUUAUCAUCCUAAUUUUAUUUGAAGUUUUCUCGAAUCGAGUCGAGUGAGAUGAAAUUCGAAUCGAAUCGAAUAUAUUUGCUCGAGUUAAAUUUAAAAAAAAAAAUUUUGGGUCUUUGUAACCACUGUCACCCAUGGUAAUAAAAUUUGUCCACCUUAAUCAAAUUUUUUAUUAACUUUUAUCAGCUCAUAAUUUAUUUAUUAAUUUUUUAUAUACUGGUUAGCUUUUUUGCUUGCUUAGUUGUUUCAAUUAUCUUCAAAUUCUUGUCUUUGGAAUUAAAAAAUAUAUUAAAUGUAAAAAUAUGAUUUUUUAAUAAAUUUUAUUUUAAAAAUAAAAUGUAAAAUUGAUACCAAUAUAAAAUUUUAACACAAAUAUUUUAUGGCAUAAUUAAUAAUUCAACUUUAAUAUAAAUAUUCAAUAUGACUAAACAAUUCAAUAAUAUAAAUAAUAUAAAAUGUGAAAUUUAAUUUAAUAAUAUGAAUAGUAGAUAUAAAUAAAAUUAUUACUAUUUAUGUUUAGUGAUUUUUUAUUGGAUAAUUUUGAUUUUUUAUUUGAGAGUAAAGGGUGAGAAGUAAAAAUUUAGGGGAAAAAUAAAAAAUUUUGGGGAAUAAAAGUUUGAAGGAAAGUAAAUAGGGGGGAGUAAAAUUUUGGAGAGAAAAUAUUAAAAAAAAUUUUGGAGGGGGGAGGGUUUGGGGUAGAUGAGAGGUGGGAUGAGAAUGGAAUAAAAGUUUUAGGGAAAAAGUGGGAGGGAGUAAAAAUUUUGGGGGAAAAUAAAAAGUUUUGAGGGUUUUUGGGAGUAAAAUUUUGAGAAAAAGUAAAUGGGAGAGUAAAAUUUUGGUGGAAAAUGAAUUUUGGGUAGAUUGGGGGGGGGUUGGGAGGGGAGUAAAAGUUUUGGGGGUAAGUGGGAAGGAGUAAAAGUUUUGAGGGAAAAGUAAAAAAGUUUGGGAGUUUGGGGUAAAAAUGUAAAAUAUUAUAGUUUGAUAUUCGAAUUAUUCGAAUUAUUUGAGUUAUUCGAAUUCAAAAACUCAACUCGGUUUGAACUCAAAAUUUGAAAAAAAAAAUUUCGAGUUGAUUCGAAUAACUCGAUUAACUCGAAUAACUCGAUUUGUUUAACUCGAAAUUCGAUUUUUUUAAAAUUUUUUUGAGUCGAAUCGAAUUUUGCUCACCCCUAAAUAGAAGUAAAAAACAUAAAAUAGGGAGCUAGAUUUUGAUUGAUAAAAAAGAAAAAGCAUUCCAUCAUUAUAGGAGUAUUUAAGAAAUAUAAUUUGGCUACUAUUGGUGAUAAAAAUUUGAUUUGUUUCCAAAAAUUUGAAUUUCUUUUUGAAUUUUUAGUUAAUUAUCUUGAAUAAUAAAUUAAAUUAAUGUGAAUAUAUUAUUUCCUAAAUUUUUGAUAGUUUUGAGAAUAUACAAAUUGACCCCUUUAAAAAAUUACAAAAAAUUCAAAAUUAUCUUUGGAAAUUCAAAAUAUAUAUGAAAUAUAUUUUCCAAAAUUUUAUUAAUAUAUAUUAAAAAAAAAUUAUUAAUAUAUAAAUAUAUAAAAAUACUAAAUUAUAAUUUUUUUAGAAAACUCAAAUUGAUAAAAUUAAUCUUUUUAAACAAGUAAAUUAUCAAACCAUGUUUGUUGUAUUAAUUAUUUUAUUUUAUUUAUCUUUUUUUUCUUUAAAAUUUUUUUUGUAUUUAUGCUUUUUAACUUAAAAUUUAAUAAAAUUACCGACAAGUUUUUAAUAUAACUAGUUUAAUGUUUUUUAAUUUAAUUUAAAUAAAUUUAUUUAACUCAAUUCAAAUUUUAUUUCAUUGAUUUAAUUAAAUUUAAAAAAAUUAAAGUAAAUAAAAAUGACAAAUUACUUGAUUUAAUUUGAUUUAGACCUUAGUCGUGGAAGAUACCAAAUUGUUAAAUUACUGACCCAUGUCCUUGUAUACAUUAUUAUAACAUUUGGCUAGUCAUCGUCCUCCUGCUAUAAAGUUGUGAGGUCAGUUGUCUCAACUAGCUUCCUGUCAAAGGUCCCUAUCCCUGUCCUUUUACUUGAGUCGGUGGCACUAGAAUUAAUUGGGUUAAUAAGUCUUGAAUCAGUCAAUAUUUAUAAAAUUUUUAUAAUUUGAUAAAUAAAAUAUUUUAUUUAAAAAUUAAAAACACAAUACCUUUAUUUCAAUUUAUACCUUAUUUGAUUUGUUUUAGGAAUUAAAUUUAUCUACUUAAUUUAAUCCUGUCCCUUAUGGGACCUCAUUUCAUUAAAUACCGAUGCGACACAGAACCUUUUUCAUUCUCUAUCAUCUCUAAGAAAUUUCCAACUUUCGCACUUUAACCCCUUUAUGAAAACCCAAUCUUUCAACCCAUUUUUUAUUCAUUCACAUCAAGCCAAAUAAAAGCUCUUGAAUUCCACUCUAAAAUAUUCCUUUAAUAUGUUCUUUUUGGGUCAAUAUUCAUAGGUUCUUGCCUUACAAUGAGCUACAGUACUGCUAAAGAUGAUACAGUAGUUUCAUUUGCAUGGGUGCCUCGCUGCCUCCCUCCACCCAGGGGAAGUCAGGAAAAACUUUUAGAGAAUGGAAACUAAAUUGUUUACAUUUUUAUAAAUUUUUGAAAGAUUAAAUCAAAAUUUAUUAUUUUAGGAGGAUAAAGUAUAAUUUUAUUUUUAUUAAUUUAAAUUUUUAAAAAAUUUAAAAGAUUAAAAUGAUAAAUUUUUUAUUUUAAGGGGGGACGGAACCUUGCUAGCACCCUAAAUCUGUCUCUGGUUUGAAGUUUAAUUUGCUUAAUUCUUUUUGUUAAUGUUAUUUGUUUUCAUAUGAUAUCAAAUUUAAUCUUUAAUAUUUACAUCUUUUGUUAAUUUAAUUUUUUAUAAUUAAAUUUGAUCUUUAAAAAAAAUCAAAUUUAACUAUCAAUAUUUUGAAAAAAAAGUUAGAAUUGAUUUUUUAAUAAAAAUAUUAACUAAAAUAUUAAAAUUUUUAAAUAUAAAAAAGCAAUCUAGGUAUAGUUCGUUAUAUUCCUAUGCAAGAUAUUUUUUUACAACUAGCUAAUAUGAAAAAAGCAUUUUCAUUUACCAAGUCAUUCGAAAACAUCCAAUCACAGUACAAUUAUUGAACCUUUGUUUUAGUGUUCACAUUACCUCUCUUUUUUCUCUUAUUUUCCAUAUGCAGCCAAAUCAUUUUCAUCUAAAAGAAAUUUCCAACUUCCUUUUAGAAAAUUAUUUUCCCAAGUUUCACAUAUAGCCUACGUCUCAAACAAAAUUCCAACUCUCAUAGUCCAAUAUAUUUAUGAAAACCCAAUCUUUCACCCCAUUUUUUGUUCAUUCAUAUCUAUCCAAAACGAAAAAAAGCUCUUGAAUUUCAAUCAGAAAAUACUCCUUUAAUAUGUUGUUUCUUCGACAUGUUUUAGGGUCAAUAUUCAUAGUUUGUUGCCUUACGACGCUUACAAAUGGAGCUACACUUGCCAAUGAUGAAGGUAACUCAUAAUACUAAGCUUCUAACCUUAAUUUGAUCAAUUCUUUUUACUAAAUUUCUCUCUUUGGUUUUUUGUUACAGUGGAAGCUUUGAAAUGGAUUGGUAAAACAUUGGGGAAGACAGGGUGGAACUUUGAUAGUGAUCCAUGCAGCCAACGCCAUAGUUGGGUAGAUCAAUCCACACGUUAUUAUGUUAAUAAUGUUACAUGUGAUUGCUCCUUUAACAAUAACACCAUCUAUCAUGUGGUUCGCAUGUAAGUAUAUACAUGUAUAUAUACAUAUAUAUCUUUCUUAAAAAGAAAAUUUAUGCACCAUUGAGUUAUGUCCAAAUUUGUUAGAUUAGUUCAUGGGUUAUAUCAUUUGAACAUAUUCUAUUAUAUAUACACGUAAUUAUCAUGUUUAAGAUAUAAUAUUAUAUAGUCAAUCUAUUCUGCUGACAAAUAUCUAAACCGGAAAUCACAAUCCAAAUACCUAUUGCCAAAAUUUAUUAAUAUGACAGUUUUUCUUUUUUUGAGUCAUCAGUGCUACACCCAACUAGUACUAGUCCAAACACUACUCUUAAAAAAUUGCCUGAACAUGUGUCAUGAGUAGUGAUGUUUUUAAGUGUCAUUGGGGUUAGUUUUUGAGGUGCUUUGAUGCUUUCCUUGGUGUGUUCGUAUCCAGAUUGGCUAUGGGUGCUGUGGUUCUUGUAUCAGAUUUAAUUUUAUUGCAAGGAGUGUUUAUUAUGCUGAAGGUUUAGUUCGGUGUUUCUUAGUAGGUAUUGUUGAGAUGGGUGUCUUCCUUUACAAUAAAGUUUCAUUGGUUAAGAUUUAGAUUAUAUUUAAAAUUUUUUAAAAUUUUAAACUUAAAAGUUAUAAUAAAAUGUUGUUAUUUAUAUAAAAUUUCAAUUAUGUAAAAUUAUAAACCCUAAACCCACCCACAUAAAUUUCAUAUUUAUUAGUAUUAAGUAUAAUUUUGGUUAGUAUAUAUUUUUAGGUUAAAGAAAUUUAUAAUUGAGAAUUUGAACUUCAUUAUUAUGAUCAAUAUCUACUCUUUUAAUAAAUUUAUGAAACUGAAUUAUUAAGUAGAUAAAAUGAGGAGAAAACAACAGCCAAAUUAAAUAAUUUAUACAUUAGAUAAAGCUUUUAAUUAGUACGUUAAGUUGAAAUUUUUUGAGUUGAGAGGUGUAGUGGGAAGUGAAUACCAAGGUAGUAUAAUUACUUUAAGACCCACUGUUGACUAUUCAAUGGAAUCGCCAUCACAUGUCGGUCCAAGCUUUUGUUGGCCGCCAAUGUCAUUUAAUUGCCCUCCCUCUCUAGCUUUUGCAAAAUGCUUUCACAAAGAAAUUAAACUUUUUCACUAUUUAGUUAAAUUUUAAUUUUAUACAUUAUCAACUCCUAAAUAGUAGUGUUUAUAGUAUAUAAAUGCCACAUGCAUAUUAAUUUAUCCUAAAUACUUGAACAAAUCAAAUUAUUUUUGCUUGAGUAAUUUAACUCUUGAAAAAUAAUAUUUAAUACUAGUAAGUAGUGAAUAUUAUACAAUUUUUAAUUAAGGUUAAAAAGUUCAUAUCGUUAGUUAAAAAUUUUCACUUUUUCAUUAUAGAUUUUAGCACCCUAACAUAAACUUUGUUUUGUAUCAGAGUGCUCAAGGCUCAAAAUCUCUCGGGUACUCUCCCACUAAACUUGAACAAUCUCCCUUUCCUGCAAGAAAUGUAAGGGCGUUUCCAAAGUUCUUUUUCAUGAUAUAUAAAACUUAUUUCUUUUCAUCAACUUUGGAUCAAUUAAUUAACUAUAUACGUAUAUCUACUAAUUUGUUGUUUUAAAACCAUUUCUUACAGUGACCUAACUCGAAACUAUCUUAAUGGCACCAUUCCACCGGAAUGGGGUUCUUCUACGGGACUUGUCAGCAUGUAUUUUUCUUUCCUCAUUGUCUAUCUAUAUAUGCCUUCCGUGAUGGUUCUGUGUCUUUCCGCAUUGUGUAUGUAUGUAAAAAUGUGUACAUAUUCACAUAUAUAUAUUUACAUAUCUUUCAUCAUGGUUGUAGGAACAAUACAUACAAUCCUUCAUCUUUUGAUUAUAGAAAAUAAUGCUGCUAAAUGCAAAAGAUGUGUUGUAUUUCAGUUCUCUUCUUGGAAAUCGAUUAACUGGUCAAAUCCCAGCAGAGUUAGCAAAUCUCAGAAAUCUUACCAGUUUGUGAGUUAGAUUAUAGCAACUUCGACUACAUAUAAUAUAUCAUUAUUUCAUGAUUAUGAUUUUUUUCAUUAUUUUACUAAAUGUCUAAUGGAUAAUUAAUUUUAUUUAUUGAAAAAAAAUUGUGUAGAGUCCUUGAGAAUAAUGGUCUUUCAGGAACAUUGCCUGCAGCACUGGGGAAUCUACCCAAUAUUGAGAGAUUGUAAGAGAGACUCUUCCUGUUUUGAAUUUCAUUUCAUUACAUGGAGUAUUUUUAUUAUAUAAAUUAUUUAAAAUAUAUUUUCUGGUUGUUUCAGGCAUCUUAGUUCCAACAAUUUCACAGGAAAAAUACCUGAAACAUUUGCUAGGUUGACAUCAUUGAAGGAGUUGUAAGCAAUUGUAAUGUUCAUUUUUACUAACUUAUUUUAUAUGAUAUGUUUUAUAUUUAUUUUGUAUUCUCAACAGUCGGAUUAGUGACAACAACUUCACAGGACACAUUCCUGAGUUUAUAUUUCGAAAUUGGGAAAAUCUUGAACAGAUGUGAGAAUUUUAAUUAUAACAUUUUUAAUGCAUUUUGUAAGUCUAUUAUUUUUCAAUUAAAUGGAUCCAUCUUUCCUAAUGACAGAUAUAUGGAGGCAAGUGGUUUGAUUGGGCCAAUUCCAUCCAUUAAUGCUACUUUACUUAACUUGACAUACAUGUAAGCACCGAUCUUAACCAUCAAGAUACUGACAAUAUUCAACACUAUAUGAUAAAAGCUGCUAUUUAAAUCCUUAUUUAUAAUUGUAUCUGUUUGUUGGAUAUUGGUUUACAGAAUAAUUAGUGACUUGAAUGGAACUGAUACAUCUUUUUCACAAUUGCUUAUCGAUGCCAAUUUGCCUAAAUUGGAAAGACUGUAAGCAUCAACUCUGAAAUCAGGCAAAGAUUUAUUAGAGUUAUGUCAUAUUGAGGAGUUUAAAACAAUGGGAUUAUUUUGUGAUUGAAUUACAGGAUGUUGAGGAGCUGCAAUCUCAUUGGAGAGAUACCUUCUUCUUUUGGGACAUUCACAUCCAUAAAGAUAUUGUAAGUAUGAUCUAGUGUUUUGAGAGGUCAGGGUUUAAUUUGAAUUUUUUUUAUGAGAUAACACGUAGUUUUAAUAUCAUUUUUAUAUAAUUUCUUGUAGAGAUCUCAGUUUCAACAGACUCGGGGGAGAAAUUUCAGAAAAUCUUUCUACUCUUGAUAACUUGAAUUUUUUGUAAGGAUAUGGUUUUUAAUUUUAGUGUAGAUUUCCCUUUUCUUUUAAGUAUAUACUCCUUUGGAACAAAUGGAAAUAAAAAGAAAAACUUGAUGAUUUCUUUUGAUUAGGUUCUUAAAUGGAAAUAAUUUUACUGGAAAAGUCCCUUCAUGGAUUCUGAAUACAAAGGAAAAAAUGUAAGAUUCAGUUCUUAUUGUGUUGAAUUCCUUUGAUUAACCAAAAUAAAAUUAUAUCGAUAUCAAGCUUUUAAUGAACAUAAUAUUCUAAAUUAUUCUAUUUGCAGCGAUCUUUCAUACAACAACUUCACACACACAGGUGUAACAGGCUGUCAACAAAAUAAUAUCAUGUAUGACAAGUUUCUAAUCUAACAUCAUUAGUGGAUCUUUAUUGUAAAUGGCUAUAUAUAUAUAUAAUAUUUGUGGUUGAUUGUGGAUCUUCAGGAACUUAUUCUCAAGCAUUGCAAGAGUCAAUAACUCGUAAGUAUUAAGACAACAACAAUCAUUAAACUAAGUUCGGAGAUUUUAAUGGCUUUGCUUUUUAAUUGUUUAAUCAGAGGAAUUGUUCCAUGUUUGAGAAGCCAAACUACCUGCACAGCAGGAUGUAAGUAAAAAUACUUUACACUUCAUCUAUGCUAAUAUCCAUUUAUAUUUGAUACACUACUCAAUCGUCAGGUAGCCAAUGGCCAAUGAGACAUACAAAAAUAAGUUCAUCCUGUCUUAAUUUUUUGUGUCGAGUUACUGAUCCAAACUGUUUUUAUAUUCCUCAGUUUCGCACUCUGUUCAUAUAAACUGUGGAGGUGAAAUAACAAGAUUUAAUGACACCGAUUAUGAUGCCGAUAACAAUCAAGCCGGGCCUUCGACAUUUCAACAAGGUACUAGGAACUGGGCAUUUAGUACCACCGGAGUUUUCCUAGACGAUGACCAUAUGGACGACAACUUAGCUUUUGACAAUAGGCAAGUUUCUAUCAGUGGUGACGGUGCAGAACUCUACAGAAAUGCAAGGCUUGCACCUACUUCUUUGACAUACUAUCUUUUUUGUCUCGCCAAUUCAACUUAUACAGUAAACCUCCAUUUUGCUGAGAUUCAGUUCACUAAUGAUCAAACUUAUAGCAGCUUGGGAAGACGCAUAUUUGAUGUUUACAUUCGGGUAUUUUUUUUUUAGUAUCAUUCUUGAUAGUAUGUUAUCCUGAUUUGGGGGAGUGUCGAAUUUUUAAUGUAUAGUAGCAAAUAUUGCUUUACAACAUGUGCUUGCAUGGGACGGCUUAAAUGGAAUGGAUAAUAAUUGCAGGGAAAGCAGGUGCUGAAGGAUUUCAAUAUUAAAGAAGCAGCAGGAGGGGCAGGCAUACCGAUAGUAAAAUAUUUUACUGUAAAUGUAACCGAUGGCACUUUGGAGAUCGGUUUCCGAUGGGCUGGCAAAGGGACGACUUCUAUGCCUCAGGGAAUCGUUUACGGUCCUCUUAUCUCAGCAAUAUCUGUUUUAGAUCCUAGUAGGUUUUCAAUUCAACUGACUCUUCUUUUUACGUUGUUGUUAUAGCACACGUAUAUAUCAUGCUUUCAACCAUGAUUUUCAUGUCAUCUUUGCUAUUAAUUACUAUGUUAUAUUGUUGUAGAAAUAGAUGAUAAACUUUCAUCAGCAAGUACCGGUGGUUUUGCGACAGCUGCAGUGGUCGGUAUUGUCGGCGGCACAGUGUUUGCUGCUUCAGUGAUUUUAGGCGUCCUUUGGUGGAAUGGUUGUUUAAGAGAACAGAGUACAUUGGAACGAGGUAUUUAGACAUAAUAUCAUUAUACUCUGUUACAUACAAGGAAAGAGUACGACAGUCGUACCGUCUUUUUCUAUUGAUACUCAUCACAAUUGAUCCUUAAUCAUAUGUUAUGUGACUGAAAACACGUUUCUGAUCGCAAUUGAAACCCAGCCAUUGCUUAUAUUUGGCUUAACGUGUUCCACAGAUCUAAAAGGUAUAGAGUUGCAGACAACUUCCUUUACCUUAAUGCAAAUUAAAGCUGCUACAAACGAUUUUCAUGCUUCCAAUAAGAUCGGAGAAGGUGGUUUUGGUCCCGUUUACAAGGUAACCAUAUGCAACACUUUCUGCAGGAAAAUUGUUCAUGAUGGAACCUGGUAAUCAUGUUUUUCUCAUUUCAAACGCAGGGCACUCUAGCCGAUGGCACUAUGAUCGCUGUUAAGCAGCUAUCAGCUCGAUCGAAGCAAGGAAACCGUGAGUUUGUGACUGAGAUUGGCUUGAUUUCAGCUCUACAACACCCUCAUCUUGUAAAGUUGUAUGGAUGUUGCAUUGAAGGAAAUCAACUGAUGCUUAUAUACGAGUACCUGGAAAACAACAGCCUUGCUCGUGCAUUAUUUGGUACAAACCUCAUCCAAAUGUCUAUCUGUUCUAACAUGAAUGAGAAGUAUGUGAAUACAUAUAACUGAGCCUCUUUGUAUUUUGGUAAUGGAAAGGGCCACAAGAAUCUCAAGAAUCUCAGUUGACAUUAGAUUGGCCAACAAGAAUGAAGAUCUGCAUAGGUAUAGCAAGAGGAUUAGCUUACCUCCAUGAAGAAUCAAGGUUGAAGAUUGUGCAUAGAGACAUAAAGGCCACUAAUGUGUUGCUUGAUAAGAAUUUAAACCCUAAAAUAUCCGAUUUCGGUUUGGCCAAGCUUGAUGAAGAAGAUAAUACCCAUAUUAGUACCCGAGUCGCUGGAACUUAGUAAGUCUCUUUUCAGAUUCAUUCUCACUGUAUUCAUUGGUGUUAACCUAUAAAAAUGGCUGAUAUAAAAGCUGUAUUUAAUUGAUGGUGUUAAAUUUUCAGUGGCUAUAUGGCUCCUGAAUAUGCAUUGCAUGGCCGUUUGACAGAGAAAGCAGAUGUAUAUAGUUUUGGGAUAGUGGCUCUCGAAAUUGUUAGUGGGAGGCGCAACACUAGAAGCCGCCCAAAGCAAGAACCUUUCAUUCUCCUUGAAUGGGUAAAGUAUAACUUAUCAUUCUUUCUUCCAUUCUUACUCUUGUUCUUUCCAGAAGAAUUUGUUUUCUUCAAUAUAUUACAUUUCCGUAUCAACACACGCAUAUCAUUCAUGCUGCAUAGUCCGUAAUGAAGGAAUUCAUACGGUCCUACUCUUCAAGGGUUCAUUGGAAAGCUUUUAAUAGAAGUUAUUAUACAUAUGAAGGAUUAUACUAUAGAAUGUCAAACACAUAUCACAUAUACCAAACACAGGUACUUUAUAUACAUGACAAAGAAAGUUUAUGCAUUUGUCAGUUUGAGUUUCAUUUUUUUAUCAAAUGAAUUUGAAUGUGGCAAUUAAAUUUGUGUGUUUUAUAGGCUCAUGUUUUGAAGGAGAAUAGGAACUUGUUGGAAUUAGUUGAUACAAGGAUUGGCUCAGAUUGCAACACAGAUGAAGUGAUGGCAAUGAUCAACAUUGCACUAUUGUGCACAAAUCCCACUGCUUUAGCUAGGCCUUUAAUGUCUUCGGUGGUGAGCAUGCUUGAAGGCAAGGCUGAAGUUCAGGAAUACCUCACAGAUACAAGCAUUUCUUCAAAUCGUCAAAUGAGUGCUGAGACUAUGAGAAAGUUGUAUCGGAAACUUGAUGAAGAUGAUACAGAUAUUAGCCAAACAAAGAGUAUGUUAGCUGAUGGGCCAUGGACCAAUUCUUCUACAUUUGCUGCUGAUCUUUAUCGAGUUAAUUUGACUUCUGGAUAAUAGAAAAAUACAGAUUCAACAAAGUAGAGAAAAAAUAUAUAAUUUUCUUGUUUGAUUUUUCCCCAGAAAAUUCGUAUUCCUUUGAAACCAAGGCUUAAAUUGAUACAUUAAAAUAAAAAAAAAAGAAAAAAAAAUUGACAUUCAAUGAAUUUGAGAUUCCAAGUUUAUUUUUAUAGCUCCUCUCAUCAUCAAACUUCAACCUUAUUUUAAAAAAUAUCCGAACUCAUUUCACUGACAUUUAACAAUUUGUUAAAAUAUUUUUAAAUAUUUAUAAUAUUCUAAUCAUUAUAAAUAAAAUGAUAUAAAUAAUCAAAAGUUAUAAUUUUUUGUUAUUAAUAAAGAGAUAUGAAUAUUCAUAAUAAUAAGUUAUGCCGCUUACCUACGAAGAGUUAUAUCACUUAAUAGUUAUUUUUAUUUAAGAGAAGUUAUUUGAAUAAUUAUAUCUCUUAUUCUAACUGUCUCUUUUAAAAGUGUGAUUAUUCAUAAAAAAACACCUAUUGAAAGUUAGGUCUGUAUGAAAAGACAUGAGAAUUUUUAUAAUUAGGAGUGAGAUUUCAUUUAUAUCAUAUACCAAAAAAGUUCUCAAAAGUUCUUUUUAUUCUUCUUCCAUCUUCUAUUAUUCUUAGAUUGUUCUAUAAAUAAAUAUUGCAUAAAUUAUUUAUAGAAAUUAAUUUUCUUGUCAUACUCUGCUUAGUGCUUAGUGAACUAUUUUGGUCAAUACAAAACGUAAAUAGUCACUGGGUUUCAUUUUAUCUUGGAGGUUUGUUAGAAACUUAUUUGCACACCGAGUAUAAUUGAAAACGAAUAGAUCUUAAAGAUAGUGACUUGAUACACGUAUUGGAAUCGUAAGUUAUUGUUUCAUUUUUUUGUUCAUGUUCCAUGUGUGUUUGAGAUUUUUCUCACCGAAGUUUUGCAUUGACAAUUUUAAAGUUUCAUUAUUUUCAUGAUGACUACUACAACACAAAAAAAAUUAAUUACAUUGACUAUUUAGACUGAUUUAAAAAUAUAAAGAUCAAAUUAUAUUAAAAAUUAAAAUAUUUCGAAUUUAGACAUAUUAGAGUUACUAUAUUGUAAAAUGAAAAAGGGAGCAUGAGUGGGUGUCCAUGUGUCGUCGUCCUUUUUUAUAUAUAUAAGUAUAUAGAUGAUAACUUUAUGAGCAAAAGUAAAAAUAUAUAUUUUAUGUUGUUUAACUUGAAUUUUAGUUAAAUUACCUAUAAGAUUUUAAUAUGACUAGUUUAACUUUUUUUUAUUUAACUCAAAUAAAUUUAUUUAAUUUCAUUCGAAUUUUAUUUUACUUUAAUUUUUUUAUUUUUAUCUAACUCAAAAAUAUUCAUUUGAUUUAAUUUGAUACCCUACCAAAUUGUUAAAUUAAUUGCACAUGUCCUUUUAACAAUUGUCUUCCUGCUAUAAAGUCGUCAAGUCAUUUGUCUGAACUAGCUUUCUGUCAAAGGUCCCUAUCCCUAUUCUUCUACUUGAGUCGCUGGAAUUAAAUUAUGCACUAUAAUUAAUUAAUUUUUAAUUAUUAAAUUAGUCUUGGAUCAGUCCAUAAUAUUUCAUUUAAAAUGAAAUUGUAAAUAAAAAUAAAAAUAUAUUCCUAUUUUAAAAUUAAUCUACUUAACAAUAAAUUUGGACCUCAUUUCAUUAAAUACCGGUGCAACACUAAAGGUUUAAUUUGCUGUAGUGAACCAUCCCCAUUUCAUUAAAUUCCGAUGGGUAAUAUCCUUUGCAAAGUCGUACGAAAACACCCAAUCACAGGACAAUAAUUGAACCUUUGUUUUAGUGUUCACUUUACGUCUCCUUUUUCAUUUAUUUUCCGUCGGCAGCCAAAUCAUUUUCAUCUUGCUUUUCAUUUUUCAUCUAAAAGAAAUUUCCAACUUCCUUUUAGAAAUUCCUUUUCCCAACUUUCAUAUAUAGUCAAAUUCCAACUCUCAUAGUCCAACAUAUUUAUGAAAACCCAGUUUCGUAUCAAUCCAAAAAUAUAUAUAUUCCUUUAAUAUGUUGUUUCUUCGACAUGUUUUGGGGUCAAUAUUCAUAGUUUGUUGCCUUACAACGCUUACAGAUGGAGCUACAAUGACGAAGGUAACUCAUAAUAUUAAGCUUCCAACCUUAAUUUGGUGAAUUUUUCUAGUAAAUUUCUCUUAUUGGUUUUUUGUUACGGUGGAAGCUUUGAAAAGCAUUGGUAAAACAUUGGGGAAGACAGGGUGGGACUUUGGUAUUGAUCCAUGCAGUCAACGCCAUAGUUCACUAUUUAUCAUGUCGUCCAAAUGUAAGUAUAUAUAUAUUUCUUAAAAAGAAAAUUUAUGCACCAUUGUAUUAUGUACAAACUUGUUAGACUAGUUUAUGGAUUAUAUGGUUUUUUUAAUCAUAUGAUCUAAAUUUAUGAAGAGAGGCAUAUGCAAUUCAAGUUUUAACAAAUAUGAGAUGAUAUCAAUUGAACGUACUCUAUCACAUAUGUACAUAAUUAUCAUGUUUAAAAUAUGAUAUUAUGCAGUCAAUCUAUUCUAUACUAAUAAUAAUUAUUUACCAAAAUUUUAGAUGUUAUAUAAAGUUGGUAAUUAUGCACAUCUAACAAUUUUUGAAAUACCUGUAAUAAUAUUUGAGAUUCAAAUCAUAUUUGAAUUUUUAAAAAUUUUAAAUUAAAAACUAUAAUGUAUUAUAAGUAGUGAUAUUUAUAUUGCGUAAUUUCAUUUAUUAAAAAUUAUUUUAAUUUAAAAUACUAUGAAAAAGUAUAGUUUGAAUAUCGAUAAUGAACUGACAAAUAUCUAAACUAACUAAGAAAAUCGUAAUUACAAACAUUAAUGAAUAGUUUAUUAAUGUAAUUUCAUUUCUUAAAACAUCUUAACUAAAUUUUAUUAUUUUUAUUUAACUAAUUCUAAUAAAAUUUAAGAUAAGAAGUUACAAAAAAAUAAAUUAGUAAAUAGUGUAGUUUUUAUUUUAUGGUUAUUAUUAUAAAAAAAUAUUAUAAAAAAAUAAUAAAACAUAAAAAAUAGAUUCUACGAUAAACUUAAUUGUUAUAAUAAAAUAUUAUUAUAGAAUAUAAUUAUUAAAAAGAAAGCAGACUGUAUACAUAAAAAUUCUAAAUAACGAAAAUUGAAAACUUAAUUAAAACAUAUGUGUUAAUUCUAGAUUGCUAGUUGAAUGUUGUUAUCUACGUUUUUCUGGUAAGGACUUUACUGAGUAUUCAAGGGAAUCGAAGCCUUUUACUUUACUGUUUUUUCUUUAAUAUCCAUUUACUUUGUUGUUAAAUAAUAUAUAUGUAUAUAUAUAAAUGCCACGUGUUUUUUAAAUAUAUUUAUAGUAUUUUCAAAUAUAUUUAUAAUUUAGUUAAAUAUAUUAUUUUUGUUAAUACUAUUUAUGAUUAAAAAAUACGGAAAGUAAUUAUAUUUAUAUUUAUUAUUAAAUAUUUUGAAUUAAGUUUUAAAAUGUAUAAAAUUUUAUAUAAAUUACUCAUAUCAUAUAUAUAUAUAUAUAUCAAAUAUAUAUACUAAAGUAAGAUUUAGAUAUAAAAAAGUAUGUUUAUAAUUCAAUUUUAUGUUUAUAAUUUCAUCUCUACGUAUUUUUUUAUGGGGUUAUUUAUUGUUUAAAAUUUAUUUUAAUUUUAACAUUAUCUUUAACUAAAAAUAUUGCGUGAGAAUAGAAUUUGAUGCUUUUUGAAUUGUAAGUAAACUUUUUUUAUUAAUUUUUUUUAAAAGUUUCGUGUAUAUUUUACGAUUUGUAUCAUUUUGAUAAGAUUUUUUUAGCAUAAAUAUUCUUUUAGUAGUUUAAUUUGAAAUUUACAUAUAAUAAUUGUUUAAUUAAAUGAGAAUAUUACUUUUUAAUAUUUCUUAUGAAAUAAAACAUUCAAUUUAAAAUUUUUAAUCGAAAAAAAGGCUUUUAAUGGUUUUUCUCUUUUAAAAGAAGCUUCACCUUUUUACCUUAAAAUUUUUAACUUUAUCAUAUCUAAACUUACCUAUAACCUAUAAGAGGAUAAUAUGCUUCACCGCACUUGAGCCCAGAUUUUUUUUAUUAGCAAUAAUGCCCAUACAAAUUAAGUUAAGAUUUUAUCAAUAAAUUUUAACCUCAAUCUUGCUUCUAAAUACAUUUAGUUAUACUUUUAAGCAAUAGACACCCUACUAAUGCUAAUUUAUCCAAAACACUUCAACCCAAGAAUUUACUUAGACAACAUCAAAUUAUUUUUACGUAAUUAACUUGACCCUUGAAAAAUAAUAAUUUAUAUACACUACUAAACGGUGCAUAUUAUACAAUUUUAAUCAAGGUUAAAAAGAUAAUAUCGUUACUUAAAAAUUCUCAGUUUUUCAUUAUAGAUUUUAGCACCCUAACGUAAACUUUGUUUUGUAUCAGAGUGCUCAAGGCUCAAAAUCUAUCGGGUAUAUGUAUAUUAGGUUGGUGCCGGUCAUCAGUGUCUCAAAACAAAAAAAAUAUUUUUAAUUUGAUAAAGUUGGUGCUGGCCAUUAGUGUACCAAAAAAAAAAUGAGACCUGAAAAAGGUGGUGUCGACCAUCAGUGUUCCAAAACAAAAAAAAAAUUUGAGAAUUGAAAAAAAGUAUUAGUGCCAGCCAUCUAUUGGUCAGAACACAAAAAAAAAUUAUUGUACUUUGGUGCCGGCCAUUAGAUGGCCAGGUCCCAAAUUUUUGUUUUCAAAUACUGGUUUUUGAGUAUACCAGUAUGAUACGAUUUUAAAAAAAUUCCUUGAUGCUGGCCAUUGAUAUCCCAAAAAAAAAAAAUUAAAGCCUAACACAAUCAUCAAGCAAUCAUAGGGUCAAAAUACAAUAGGGUGUCGGCCAUUAAGUUCUCAUAACUCAAAUUUACUGUUUAUUUCAAGUCAUUUUAGUGAAUAUUUUUGAACCAGAUUCAUUUUUAUAAAUAUUGUUUUUUUGGGUUAAAUGGAUAAAAUAACCUCACUUUGUGGUGAUUAUGGCUUGCUAGGAGUAAGCUUGAUUUCUAGGAAAUGAUUGACUUGUUCGCAAGUCUUUUAAGACUUUUAAUGUAUUCAAAUAAUGAAUUAAUAAUAUUUUAAAAAUAGAUGAAUGGAAUUAUAUUAUAAAUUAAAUAUUAAAUUUAGAUAUAUUAAAGGUAUCAAAACUAAACUUAACCAAAGCAUGGGUGAGUAAAAAUAUAUACAAAAAUAUUAAAUAAGAAAAUGGCACUUGACAAAAUUUGAAUUUUUUUACGGUAUUAUAUAAUUUUUAUAAUAUAUCAAAUAUUAACUUAUAUUUUAAAUAAUAAUAAAAAUCUUUAAUUCCUCAAAUGUAUGUUUGUUACAGUGUUUUGUUGCUACUGCCUGACAUGUUAAUGGCACCAGAUUAAAAUGUGAUAACUUAAAAUAUUCAGAUAUAUAAUAUAUAAAAUUUUCAUUUGAAUUGGGUACUGAAAAAAACUUUUAGGGUGCUGGCAGCACCAAAUUUUAAAUAAAGUAAAUUGCUUUAUAAUCCAUCCUUAUUUAUUAUUUUCUUUUAUUCCCUUGCAAUACCAAAAAUAGAAAGGCCUCUAUGAACUAAUCCAAAAGGUUUUUUUUAUCAAAAAGUAUUUUUGUAAAAAACUGUUUUUAACUGAAAAUAAAUUUUAUUUAUUUUUCAAAAAAAUAAUUUUUUAUUCAAAUAAUGUCUAACAUAUUAACUAUAUUUAUAGUAAUUUUUGAAAGAUUUUAUAAUUAUAGUUCUAUACUGUCUCUGUAAAUAUAAUAAAAUUAUAAUUAUUCUAGAUAAAAAAGAGAAAUAAGAGAGAAUUUUUUUCGAUAAUUAUAAUUAUCCUUAAUAAAAUUUGAUCGGGGUUAUGAGGACAUUUAAUUUUUUUUUUUAAAAAAAGAUAGAUAAAAAAGAGAAAUAAGAGAGAAAUUCGAUUGAUGGAAUAUUUAAGAAACCGAAUGUGGUUCACAGAAUGUACCAAAUUGCUAAAUUAUUGACACCUGUCCUUAUCUAGGAUUAGUCUUCCUGCUAUAAAGCUGUCAGCUCAUUGUUUGGGGCUUUUUAUUAUAAAUACAGAAUUAAAUUUUACUAAUUUUUAUAUAAUAUUUAUUUUUAUAUAUAAUCUCACCCAAAUUUUAUAAUGUUAUUUGAACUAAAAUUUGAUUUUUUAUAAAAUUAAUAAAUUUAAAAAUUUUAUAACUCAACAAAUAAAAUCUUUUGUUUAAAAUUAAUGGUAAAUGAUUUGAUCUUUUUAAUUCAUUUCAUGCAAAUUUUAUUUAACAAUUUGCCAACACAAUCAAGUGUUCCAAAUUGAAAAACAUCUAAUCACAUAAAUUUGGGAUGCAACAAUCAACCUUUUUCAUAUUCUAUCAUCUCUAAGAAAUUUCAAACUCUCAUAGUUCAAUGUAUUUACGAAAACUCAAUCUUUAUUAUUUAAGAAAAUUAAAAUUUAAAAUCCAGCCAGAUAUCAGUAGUGCUAAAAGUCAGCUUUGGAGGCAGCAUUUAUUUGAAAGGCAAUAGAGAUCAAUUCUUUUAAAAAUGCCUCUUUUUCGAAAUCAGUAAGUUUAAAAGAUUAAGAAAAUAUCUAAUUUUAAGAUUAAUUAUAUGCAUGACUUGAUUUCUAUAAUCUUCAACAUUUUGUUCCUCUACGUUUUAAUCCUAUGCCAUCAAUUUGUUCAACCACAUAAAAAGAAAUAGUUGUUUUAGUCUCUUUAAAAAAAAUAGAAAUCGGGUCAUUUUUAUAAUUAAUCUUGAUGUUAGGUUAUUUUCAUAAUUUUUAAAUUUACAAGAUUAGAUUACUAAAAAAACCUUUAAAAAAUUAAUGUGGUACUAUCGGAUCGCCCCAUAUUUUUUUUUUGUAUUUUUUUCGUUUGAUGUAUUUUUAAAAAUAAGAAUAUUUUCUUUAAAAAAUUGGCUGGUGCCGCCUAACACACCAGUGAAAUCUAUUAAAAAGAUAAUUUUUUUCACCAUGAAUACUCAUAUUUUUCAUAGGUAUUUUGAAAAAUACAUGCUACUGACGCCCUCAAAUUUUUUUAAAAUCAAUGAUUGGGUAAUAAUGAGGGGUGGUGGUGUCGAUGUGUGAGGCAAUACCAACAGCUACUAUAAUAGCUCUAUCUGUUUGUCAAUAUUUUACCUAUUAUAGAGAGGUGAUUUGUUAUAUAUCUAUACCAACAUGCUUGAUGUAUGAACUAAUACAUAUACCUAUAAUAGUAUAUGUAUAUUAGCUCUAUCUAUCUGCCAAUAUUUUGCCCAUUAUAUAGAGACGAUUGUUAUAUAUACCUAUAAUAACAUGUUAUAGAAAUAUAAUUGCUAUAAAUCUAUAAAAGAAUUCAUAUAUUGAAUUUCAAUAAAAGAAAAGAAAGUGAAAAUUAUAUGAAAAAAAGAAAGAAAGUGAAAAUCAAAUUAAAAAAAAAAUUUAAAAAAAAAAAACUAUUGUAGGUGCAUGCACUAUUACUUUAAUGUAUAUUUUAUUUUACAUUUUAUAUAUGAUUAUUUAUGAAGUUCAAUGGAUCAGUAUGAGUUAUUACAUUGAAUUAAUUAAUUUAUCAUAAGUUAUUAAAUUCAAGUAAUCAAUUAAGUGUAUGAUGUUUCAAAUUUAUAGUAGAAUAUUUAAUUAGAAAACUCAAUAAUUUAUUGAAUUGACUCGUUAAAGAUUAUUUUCAUUUAAUAACAUAUGAUUAAAAUUUUAGAGAUUUUUCAUUUGAAAUUUAAAUAUUUUAUUAAAAUAAUAAAAUUAUAAUUAAUAGGCUUGCUAAUAUGAUAUAGUUAUAAUUUUACUUAAAUUUUUAGACAAUAUAUAGUUAUAAAGAAAUAAUUUAAUAAAAAUUGUACUUAAUAACUAUGGAUGUUACUGUUACAAGUAAAAAAUUAUUAUAAAUGAUUAAAAUAUAAUAUAAAAAAUCAAAUUUAUUUACUGAUUGCUAUAAGGAAAUGCUAUUAUAACGGUUAUUAUAGAAAAAGUUAGACUAUAUAUAUGAUAUGUAUUAAUAAUUAAUACAUAUACUCAACAAACAACAUCCCAUGCAAGAUAUUUUUUAACUUGUCAUUAUGAUAAAGUAUCAUUUGAAUGGUCAUGCAAAAACAUUGAGUCUCUUUUUCUUUUAUUCUCCACAGGCAGCCACACAUUUUCGUCAUGCUUUUUCUUUCUUCAUCUCAAGAAAUUUCCAACUUUCAUUUAUUUGUCUUUCAUCUCAAAGUAAUUUGCAAUUUCGGAGCAAAAAUAUAGGAAACUUCCAACUUUCUUUUAUUUUCAAUCAUCUCAAAGAAAAUUCCAACUCUCAUAAUCCAAUAUAUUUAUGAAACCCAAUCUUUCAACCCAUUUUUUGUUCAUUCAUAUCAAGCCAAAAAAAAAAAAAAAAAAACCCUCUUGAAUCCACUCCAAAAACAUUCCAAUAUGUUGUUUCUUCGACUUUUUUUUGGGUCAAUAUUCAUAGUUUGUUGCCUUACAACGCUUUCAAACGAAGCUUCACUUCCAAAUGCUGAAGGUAAUCCAUAAUAUUAAGCUUCAAAGCUUAAUUUGGUUAAUUAAUUCUUUUAGUAAAUUCCACACUUUCAUUUUUGUUGUUACAGUGGAAGCUUUGGAAAGUAUUGGUAGAACAUUAGGGAAGACAAACUGGAACUUUACUGGAACAUGCAUUCAAGGCAAUGGUCGGUUGGACCAACCUUCACCCGAGUUUAAUGAAUCUUAUGUUGAUAAUGUUAUAUGCGAUUGUUCCUUCAACAACUAUACUACCUGUCAUGUCAUUCACAUAUAAGUAUAAACAUAUACAUAUUAUUUUAUAAUGAAAAUUUUAUCUCCCUUGAGUUACGUCUAAACUUGUUAGAUUUUAUUUAUGAAUUAUAUAUGAUUUAAUAAGCAUUUAAUCUAAAAUUUAUUAUUAAAAAGUGAAGAGUAUUUUAACUUUGAAUAUGAGAUGAUGCCUCAGACUUCAUAUUAUAUAUAUGUUAAAUUAUUUGACAAAUGAAGAUAUUAAUCAACUUAAAUAUAAGAUUACAGGAAGUUUAAUUUUAUACUUUAUUAAUUUGUUUAAUAAAAGUUGUGGAUGAUGCACAGAGAGCGUUUAACAUCACUCCACUUUCCAGCCGACAUGCAUGUACGUCCAACCCACAAGAUAUGAUCCGAAUCUUAGAAAACAAUGGUAUUACAUAAGAUAUAAAGGCAUAUAUGGACUCUUCUUAUUAUAUUUACAAAUUUUAAUUAAAAAUAAUAUAUAAAAACAUGUUUCCAUUUAAAUUUAACUAUAAAAUUCUGGAUAAAUAUUUUCUUUUUGAAAUUUAAAUUUACAUAUUAUAAUUGUUUAACUUCUAAUUGGUGCAUACAAGUACCUAUUAACUAAACAAAUAUAAUGAAGCUUGUAUCUCUUUCCAAUAGUUUAAUGUUAUUUUAAUAGUUUCAUAUAAUCUAUUCUCUUAUCUAAAUUGGAUUCAAAUUUUAUUUAAUUUCUAAUUAAUUUAAUAUUAUAUCAUUUAGAAAUAAGUAUGUUAUUUUUUAAAACUUAAAAGUACUAUAUAAAAAUUUAUUUUUCAAAACAUACCAUUAAAUUAUUGAUUUUUUAUUUACUUGAAAAAUAUAUUUUAGAAACAUUUAUGGCAGAAACUUUGAAAAUUUUCCAAACAAGGCUCAAAAGUUAUAAAACAAAAUCCAUUUUCUUAAAAUAAAAUCUAAAAAUUUAAAAAUUAAAAUUAAUAUAGAUCAAAUCAAAUUGAGUUAUCAUGAUUAAAAAAGAAAUAAUCGAACCAAAUUUAACUUUGUCCUAAAUUUCAGUGUAUAAAAUUACAAAAAAAAAAAACAAUUUAGUGGGUUUAAUAAUAAAUGACAUCCUUAAGUAAUUGGAAAAAUUAUAGGGUAAAUUUUAAAUAGAAAAGAAACUAACUUGGUUUUUCUAUCAGACUACUCAAGGGACAGGGCCUUUCGGGUACUCUCCCACUAAACUUGACAAGUCUCCCUUUUCUGCAAGAAUUGUAAGCAAUGAAUUAACUUUGCAUCAAUUAAUUACCUAAAUAUCUACUAAUUAAUUUGUUGUUUUAAAUCUAUUGUUACAGUGACCUAACUCGAAACUAUCUUAAUGGCACUAUUCCUCCAGGGUGGGGUUCUUCUACGCGACUCAUUAAGAUGUAUGUUUAUUUCCUUCUCCUUUAUGUAUGUCUUUCGUGGUGGUAUGAAUUAUAACAAUUACUUUAAUGCAGAAAAUACAGAUCAUUAAAUUCAACACAUGUUAAGAAAUUAAAGUAGAGAUUUAGAGACAUACCAUUUGAAGAGGAUGAAGUCACAUGAUUGAAGCUUUAAAUUUCUCAAUCUCUAUUUCCUCAAUCAAUCAUAAAAUGUUAUUGGAGGUAGAGUUAAUUACAAAGCACGGGCACUAUCCUACCACCAUACAACAAGCAAUGAAUUUCUCACCGCCUGAUGGUAGCAAGGGCAUCAACUCACCUAUUCUCAUCUCUACAAACAUACACCAUCUUAACAUUUGAAAUACCGAUAAUACAUUGGUCAAUAAUCAAGUCUUUAUUAUUUUAGAGAGUCAAAGUUUAAUUUUAUAUUUAUUAAUUUAAAUUUUUAUAAAUUUUAAUGGUUUCUAAAUGAAAAAAAAAUUAUUUUAGGGGAUCGGGUACUUGCCAGCCCCUUUAGCUACCUCUGAGCUCGUUACUUUUUGUGAAUAUUUUUUUAUAGUUUAGUUUGUUUUCUUUUAAUGCGAUUCAAACAUACUGAAAAAUACAGUAAAGUCUAGAUUCUAUAAAAUUUCAUUAUUCACUAAUCUUUCAAUUCUUUCCCUAGAGAACCUUCUAUGCUAGAAGAGUGAAGAGUGUUCGUUAAUUAAACCAAUUUUGAACCAAUAUUUGAAUGCAAGGUUACUUAAUCUUGUGCAAAUGCACGGUUCAAAGAAAUUUUAUAUAAGCUAUCGUAUAAAACACAAAAACCAACUAUUAUUGAAUUAAACAUCAGACUUAAUCUUUCACAACCAAAAAGUAAUUGAAACUAAAAUUCUAGAAAUCCAAAGUACAUACAAAGUGUAAGGAAUAGAUGUCAACAACUAUCACUUCCACCUUGGGAUAUAAAUGAAUUUCUCACUUUCAUUCAAUUUAUUGGUUGUAAGGAAUCCCCAAAUUAGAUUGGGGAUAUGAGUAAUGUCUCUAAAAUCAAUCCUUCUUAACAUGUCUUAAUGUUUUGUCACAGAAAUAUUACUUGACAAUAAAUUUCCCAUCAUAACUCUGGUACCUUUUCCACAUCCACUUACCUUCUUUAGCGGACAGUUAUUUCCUUUAGUACAUUUAUCUUUCUUUUUUUCUUCGUAGCUCCAUAAGUUGCAACUAGAGUUAAAUGUUGUUCAUUCCACCGCAUUCUCACUUAUUCCUAAACGUACUUACUAGUCAUCUCAUUCAAGUUCCGCUGCUCACUAAUGAUGUUAUAAUAAAUCUUGAAUGGAGAAAACUGAGGAAGUGAAUUAAGGAUGAAAAGCACCAAAAAGAAUCUAUCCACAUUCACCCUUAAAAGUUUUAAGUUUUGCAAUUUUUUCAUUCAUGUCCAAUAUAUGUUGUUGAAUUCCUUUAUGACAAUCAUGUUGUUGAAUUCAGCCAUCAAAAGGCCAAUAAGAGACUUAUUAGCAUGUUUAAAAUGCAACUCUACGGAUUUUAGAAAAUUCGAGAUUAUGUCAAUUUAAGGAACAGAAAUCUUGAUAUUCACAACAAUAGUCAUUCUCAUAAACAUAAUACUAAGUCUGUUCGACCUUAUCCGGGCUUUUGAAUAUUCCACCAGCUCCUCUGCAAUUCUAUAGUAACUUUCGGAACUUUCUCGCUUAAUAAAGCCAUGUCAAGAUCUAGUAUAUCAGACGAAAGUUGAACCCUUUAAUACCAUUAUAAGAAAUUCAAUCCAUUAAAAAUCAUCAUUCCAGAUGCAAGAGAAUCUAAGGUAAUAGGAACUGUAUAAUCCUCGCUUAAUGAUAUCACCUAAGUUUUCCUUUGGGUAAACUCCAAAAUAUCAAGUAUUCACUCAUUAUAUGUAUUGGUAUUACAUUUAAGCCUAACAUUUUUGCGCUACCUACAUGUUACCUAUAAAUAUUCAUUACACAAAAAAAUAGAAAGAAAUACAAUUAAUGGUAAGUGACUACCCUUUUAAGCUAGUACGAUUCUCCAUUUUAAAACCAAAAUCAAGACUACUAUAUAUUUAAUCUUUUAUGUAAUUUACGACGAUAAUAGUUAACAAUUUAGGUCAGUUUCACAAUGAUCUAAAUUAUUGAAUUUCAUUAAAAUAAAUUAACUAUAAUAUUCACUAUCUUAUUUUAAAAUUAUAUAUUUCUAAAAUAUAAGUAUUAAGUCGAAAAUAUUAAAGCAUUUUAAUUAUAAUAAAUUUCUUUGACUACCAUGCAUAUGUAAAACAAUAACUCAAUGGCAAAUAUAACAUAAAUCCCAUUGAGAACUUUAUAUAUAAUUUCAUAUGCAUAAAGGAGCGAAUAAGAUAAUGAAUAUAUAUAAUGUUUCUAAAUGCGAAAGAUUUAUUGUAUUUCAGUUCCCUUCUAGGAAAUCGAUUAACUGGUUCAAUCCCAGAAGAGCUAGCAAAUCUCAGAAAUCUCACCAGCUUGUGAGUUAGAUUAUAGCAACUUCGAAUGUAUAUAUAUGAAUGAUAUUUUUUUUCAUUUUUUAAUAAACGUCUAAUGGAUAAUUAAUUUUAUUUAUUGAAAAAACAUUGCGUAGAGUCCUUGAGAACAAUGGUCUUUCAGGAACUUUGCCUGCAGCGCUGAGGGAUCUACCCAAAAUUGAGAAAUUGUAAGAGAGACCCUUCCUUUUUUAAAAGAAAAAAAAUUUCUAGAUGAAAUGCAUUUCAUUAUAUAUAUGUAGUAUUUUUAUCAUGUAAAUGAUUUAAGAUCUAUUUACUGGUUUUUUCAGACAUCUUGGUUCCAACUAUUUUACUGGGACAAUACCUGAAACCUUUGCUAGUCUGACUUCAUUGAAGGAAUUGUAAGCAAUUCUAUUUUCUAGUGUUCCUUUUAAUACAUAUCAUUCGUAUUUUUCAAUAUAUUUUAUAUGAUAUAGUUUUGAUAAUUUUGUAUUCUCAACAGUCGGAUUAGUGACAACAAUUUUACAGGACAAAUUCCUGACUUCAUAUUCCGAAAUUGGACAAAUCUUGAAAAGAUGUGAGAAUUUAAUUUAACAUUUUCUUUAUAUACUUUAAGUUUUUUUAAUUCAUUAGAAUUUUUGUUUUAUCAAUCAAUUAAAUGAAUCUAUCAUUUUUGUAAUGACAGAUAUAUUGAGGGAAGUGGUUUGAGUGGACCAAUUCCAUCCAUUAAUGCUACUUUACUUAACUUAACAUACAUGUAAGCUAUAAUAAUCUUAAAAGAUGGUGACAAUAUUCGUUAUAUAAAAAUAAAGACAAUUUAAAUUCUUAUUUAUGUUUGUAUAUGGUUCUUGAUAUUGUUGUACAGAAUAAUUAGUGACUUGAAUGGAGCUGAAACAAAUUUUACACAACCACUCAUCAAUGCCAGUUUGCCUAAAUUGAAAAGACUGUAAGCAUAAAUCUGAAAUAAGGCAAAGAUAUGAGAUAUUAAGGAGUUCCAAAAACAAAAACAAUGGAAUUAUUUUGUGAUUGAAUUACAGGAUGAUGAGGAGUUGCAAUCUCAUUGGAGAGAUACCUGCUUCUUUUGGGAGAUUUACAUCCAUAAAGAUAUUGUAAGUAAUUACACACUUUCUUUUCUAAUACUAAAAUACCCGGUUUUUGAGAGGUUCAAGUUCAGUCUGAUGGUAGAAAUAGAAUUUCAAAAUUUGCAACCUCCUUCUUUCAUUUCUAACUUGUAUUAGGACAUAAUUACUUGUGAAUUUUGAUGCAUCUAUCUUAUUUGUACUUUUGAUUAUUCAAGAGUUAGAUUGAAAUAUUUUAUAAGAUGACGUCUGGUUUAAUAUCAUUUUUAUAAAUUUUCUUGUAGAGAUCUCAGCUUUAAUAGACUCACUGGAGAAAUUCCAAAUCAGCUUUCUGGCCUUAAUUUCGAUAAUUUGUAAGGAUAUGGUUUUUAGUUGUAGUGUAAACUACAUUUUCUUUUAUUUAUAUACUCAUUUGGGUCAAAUGGAAAUAAAAAAACAACUUGAUGAUUUCUUUUCAUGAGGUUCUUAAAUGGAAACAAUUUUACUGGAUCAGUCCCUCAAUGGGUACAGAAAACAAACGAAAAAGUGUAAGAUUCACUUCUUAUUUAAUUUUGAAUACUAAUCUCAGCUUUAAUAGACUUGUUGCCGAUAUCAAGCUUUUAAUAGAGAUAUUUAUGAGUAUACCUGCAGACUUUUAAUGAAAAUAAUAUUCUAAACUAUUCUAUUUGCAGGGAUCUUUCAUACAACAACUUCAAUGACACAGGUGAAUCAAGCUGUCAAAUAAGCAAAACCGUGUAAAGUUUCUCAUCUAACUCCAUUAGUGGAUCUUUGUUGUAAAUGGUUGUAUAUAUAUAAUUGUGGUUCAUUGUGGAUCUGCAGGAGCAUUGCAAGACUCAAUAACACGUAAGUUUUAAGAUAACAAUAAUCAUUAAACAAAGUCUAUGUCUUUCAUCUAACUUUAUAGUUGUUUUAUCAGGGGAAUUGUUCCAUGUUUGACAAGCCAAAUUACCUGCUCAUCAGAACGUAAGUAUUUAUAUUUGAUGCACUAAUAAUAUAACUCAAUUAUUUUAUUCAAACUGUUGUUGAUUGUUAUUUCCUCAGCUUUGCACUUUGUCCAUAUAAACUGUGGAGGGAGAGAAAUAACUGUUAAUGACACCACUUAUGAAGCCGAUUUUGAUGGAGCCGGGCCUUCGACAUUUUACCAAAGUACCAACUGGGCAUUUAGCAGCACCGGAAUUUUUCUAAGCGAUGACCGCCCUAACGACAUCUUAGUUUUGGACAAUAGACAAGUUUCUGUUGAUGGCGAUGAAAAACAACUCUACGAAAGUGCAAGGCUUGCGCCUAGCUCUUUGACGUACUAUGCAUUUUGUCUCGCCAAUGCAACUUACUUAGUAAACCUCCAUUUCGCUGAGAUUCAGUUCACUAAUGAUCGAAAUUAUAGCAGCUUGGGGAGACGCAUAUUUGAUGUUUACAUUCAG